rnacentral:lncRNA from 1 species
ACUUUGAGAAUGUUGGAGGUAAAAUGCUUGAUGCAGUUCUUGUGAAUAUGAAACUUCAUGGUCGUAUUGCUGUGUGUGGAAUGAUUUCACAAUACAACCUUGACAAGACUGAAGGAGUGCACAACUUGUUUUGCCUCAUCGCGAAACGAAUCCGUAUGGAAGGAUUUUUUGUUUUUGAUUACUAUCAUCUUUAUCAUAAAUAUCUUGAAAUGAUCAUUCCACAAAUAAAGUCUGGUAACAUUGUGUAUGUGGAAGACAUAGCUGAAGGUUUUGAAAGUGCUCCUAGUGCUCUAGUUGGUCUCUUCUCUGGUCUCAAUGUUGGAAAGCAAGUUGUGAUGAUUUCAUGUGAAUGAAUGGAUUUGGAUCUUUUCCAUUUUCUCUCAAGUUUUUACUUGAAAGGAAAGAUAUUGUGUCAUGGUUAAAUACUUAAAUACGCAAACAUUUCUCAUGUAUUUACUAAUUCUCUGUAUGGUUUGAAAUAUUUAGUCAUUAAUUGAUAAUUUCAUACUAGAUUUCAAGUCAGUUGUACCUAAGUACAUGUAUUUUUGCUACUAGAUACAUUCUGAAAUGCAGAUACAUAGGAAGAGAGGGAGUGAGAGAGGAGAAGGAGAGAUGAGAGAGGCGAGAGGCAAGCAAAAGAGUUAGUGUAUCCCAGAUAUAUGCAAAUUACACUAGAUAAUCUGAGAUAUCAUAUACAAUUCAUAAACAUUCUGAAAUACAGAUACAUAAGGAGAGAGGCGAGCGAGAGAGGGAGAGAGGCGAGCAAUAUAAGAGAUAUGAGUGAGAGAUUCAGUGUUUCCAGAUACAUAUAAAUUAUGCUUGAAUACAGUAUAUCAGAAAUAAAUUGGACCUAAUUUUAAUUAAUAUAUCCAAGAUACAUAUAUUUGGAUGUGUCGCAUACAUGCGUUUGGGAACUGACACAAAUAAUACUUUCAAAGAGGCACAUAAUUAGACUCUAAACUAAAGAAAUUCUUAUUAUUUGCCCUUGAACUUAUUUAGGCAAAUAAAAGGUCGGAAGAGAUUUAAGAUUGCGAGAUUAAUAAUAAUUUAUAAAAUUAAAUAUAUAAUAUAGUAUUAAUUAUCUAAAUCAUAAAAAAGAUUUAUUUUGAUUAACUAAAUCUUAGUCAUUAAAUUUUACUUAUAUCAAUUUAGGGGGGGGAAAUGAAGAGGAGUCGGAUCCAGAUAUAUUCUUCAACAACUCUUGAUUUACAAAGUGAGAAAUGGCAGAGGAAGUGAUGAACAACAAACAGAUCAUUCUAAAACAUUAUGUGGAAGGUUACCCUAAGGAAUCUGAUAUGGAAUUUAAGAAUAAUAACAUUAAAUUGAAUGUUCAAGAAGGUACUAAUGUUGUUGUUUUGAAGAAUCUUUACUUGUCUUGUGACCCUUACAUGCGUUCACGCAUGAGCAAACUUGAGGGUUGCUAUGUUCAAUCCUUCACUCCUGGCUCAGUAAGUCGUUCACUUAUUUUAUUGAGUCGCCCUUAUAAAUAACGAUGUUGGAUUUAUCGAUGUAAAUUUUAUGUUUCCUUCGCCAUGUUAUGAUUGUGGAUUAUUUUUCCUUAAUUAACAUACAAGCAUUUCUAGUUAUUGUUGAAACAAUUUACAAGUGAGUUUAAAUUUCCCAUGCAAUUGUGUAGACCUUGGAUGUUUUUUAUUUAACAUUAUAUAGGGGUUUUGGUAAUGAUGAGUAUAUUUUUUUAGAAAAUGAAUGAGUUUCAUAUAUAUUUUCUUAUAUUUAAUAUGCGCAAGUAAAAAAUAUUUGUGUAUAAUCUAGAUAAAUACUAUGUCAAGUAGGCGUGUGCAGGGGCGGAGCCACGUAGGCUCCAGGGUGUCCAAUUGGACACCCUUCGUACGAAAAAUUAUACUACAUAUACAUGUAAAUUUUUGACUUUAUAUUGGUAUAUAUAGAAUUUGGACCCCCUGAAAUAACAAAGUGAUGCGCAGUGGAGUUGGCAAUAGCCUGUGCAAUCCUACUCUUUGUCUUGGUUCGAAUCCCCGCAGGGAUUUUUUCUUUUUCUGUAAUUAUUUUUACUUCUUAAAUUCAAUCAAGUAAAUAAACAUGCGUAAUUUAAACAUAAAAGUUCAGUAGCUUGGUGGUUAAUAGUAUCAUGAAGGUCUCCAAGACCCAAGUUCGAAUCCCUCCUCUACUAACUAUUUUUUUUCAAUUAAAAUUGAAUCAUUUCCCUAAAUUUUAGUACCUUUUCCUUGUAGAAUAAGAUUUCCUUAAAUUUAAUACUUUUUCUUGUGGAUUUUUUUCAAUUAAAAUUGAAUUAUUUACUUAAAUUUUAAUACAUUUUCCUUGUAGAAUAAGAUUUCCUUAAAUUUAAUACUUUUUCUUGUGGAUUUUUUUCAAUUAAAAUUGAAUUAUUUCCUUAAAUUUUAAUACAUUUUCCUUAUGGAAUAAGAUUUCCUUAAAUUUUAAUACUUUUCCCUUAUGGAAUAAGGUUUUCUUUCUCUAUAAAUAGGAGACUCAUUUACCCAAAUAUCACAAUAUUAUUAAGAAUAGAAUCUCAAUAAUUCUCUCUUUGUUUUUUCUUCUCGUUCUCUUAUUUUAUAACAAAAACAAAAAACUUAAUAUUUUAGUUUCAAGUUUCAAUAGACAUGAAGAAUUAUUAUAAUAGAGUACCAAAAAAAAGUUCGAUAUGGAAUUUAAGAAUAACAACAUUAAAUUGAAACAAUUUACAAGUGAGUUUAAAUUUACCAUGUAAUUGUGUAGACCUUGGAUGUUUUCUAUUUUAACAUUAUAUAUCUAGGGGGUGUUUGGUAAUGAUGAGUAUAUUUUCUUAGAAAAUGAAUGAGUUUCAUAUAUAUUUUCUUAUAUUUAAUACGCGUAAGUAAAAAAUAUUUGUGUAUAAUCUAGAAUACUAUGUCAGGUAGGCGUGUGGGAUAUAUACUGUUUCCCGAUGGGGAUGAGAGUGUAGAUAAAGUGUGUUAGAGAAUGGGGAGGACACAACUGAAGUGGAAUUUCAUUUGUGAAACUUAUUUUCCUACUUCCAGGCAGGGGCGGAGCCAACCUUCUGUUAGGGGUUCAUCUGAACCCCCUUUGACAAAAACAUUACUAUUUAUACAUGAUUAAAAUUAUUUUUUAUGUAUAUAUAAUAGAUGUCGAACCCCCUUCAGUUAGUUCGUGUGUUUAUUUCUUCAGCUAUUGAACCCCCUUAUUAAAAAUCCUAGGUCCGCCACUGCUUCCGGGAUAACUUUUACUAUACGAACAUGAAAAAAUUAUUGGCCAUACGAGUUUGAUAUAGCCCAUUUGAUACCUUCGUAUCCGAGUUCUCAAAAUCUCACUUCAAAGGUGUUGAGUUGGAAUCCCAUUCUAACUAACGAUUCUUGUGGUUCCAGAGGAUCCAACUACAGGAGAACCCAGGAACUCGAAGGGCUCCCCCCCCCCCCCACCUGUUCCGCCCAACUCUUUGGUCUUAAGAACGCUGGCUUAUUGAACAGGGUUCUAUGGUCGGUCCGUGACCCCCGGAUGCCAAAGUCAUCCUUGGGUGAUCUCUUAGUUCCUACGGGGUGGAGAUGCUGGGGUUGGUCCAAGGAUUUUCCUUCCUUUUCUUUUGCCGCAUUUCUCUCAAAGGGUUGAAGGGAGAUAGUGCAUCAAGUUGUUUGCAAGGGCCAACUUGAUCCUAUUCCCCAGGGAUCUCCGAUUAGGGAACCCUGGGAGAGAAAAAUGUUUCCACUGCGCACCCUAUUUCAUUUUUCAUUUCUUGUUCAAGAACUCUUAGAUGUUAGAAACAUUGAGGUUAAGUGAACUUCAUUCUCCCAACUGAAUGUUUAUUCCUUAUGUAUAUAUGAUAUGAAUGGAUUAACAAUUUGUCCUAUGAUAAUGUUUCUCAUAAGUACUUUUCUUUUCUGUUAUAUUAUAGCCUAUCACAGGAUGUGGAGUGGCUAAAGUUUUGAAGUCUGGUGAUUCAAAUUUUCAAGAAGGGGUAGUGGUGAUUUUGGUGGUGGAGAAGAUAGGUAUGUUCCAUUUGAGGUGGAGAAUGGUUCAUCGAGUCAUCGAGGAUCUAUCAAUGAUGAUAUUGAAUGUGGUGAUAGUGAUGAUGAUGAUGAUGAUGAUAAUCGCUCAGCUUUCUAGGAUUACCAUGACUCACCACAGCUAGUUUCAAAGAAUGGUGUUGGACAAUUUGCAAAGAUGUUAGGUUGUUGUGUUGUUGGUAGUGCUGGAAAUAAACAAAAGGUAAGUACUUAAGCAUUUCAUUCUUGAAUUUUAUUAGUGGCUUAUAAGUUAUCUUACUUAUCUUAAUUAAUCAUUGUUAAAUAAUCUAGCUAUCUCAUUUAUUCAUUAUUAAUUAAAGGUUGAUAUGUUGAAGACCAAGUUUGGUUUUGAUGAAGCUUUUAACUAUAAAGAGGAACAUGAUUUAGAUGCAACUUUGAAGAGGUAUGUAAUCUUAUAAAUUCCCACAAGAAAACACUAACUAAAAUGGAAAAAAAAUAGUUUCCAGGGUGAAGGUGGUUGGGGACUUUUUAAUUUUUUUUUUUUAACCCAUCACCUUAACGGUGUGUGUGUGUGUGGGGGGGGGGGGCUUGACCCCUACCAUGUCUAUAACAUCCAAAAAGUUACAAAAGCAGAGGGAGACAUGGACCUAACCUCUUGAUAGUGAACAACGAGGAUAACCUAAGAUGACAUAGACUUUCAUACUAUAAGCAAAAUACGUUGGUUCAACUAACAAAAAAAAUUACAUUUGUUGUAUCUUCUCCUUAUUCUAAAGUUUCCACUUAUCAAGUAGAAAUAGUCCCUUUCACCUUAGAAUUAGAAUUGUGUGUGGUGGAUUGACAUUUCAUUUUGGUUAAAAUGAAUGGGAUUAAUGAUAAAUGAAGAUUUGAACCACUUCUGUAACAUUAAGGGCAUAUAUGAAAAGAUAGCUAAUAUAACGCUAAAGGUAUAUAUGAACUUAUUGUAUAACGGAAAAGCAAUACUAGACCUUUAAUUUUCGAUAAUAUAGGGGUAAAUAUGACCUUUUUUCGUAUUGGUUUAUUCUAUUAGGUACUUCCCUGAUGGAAUUGACAUAUACUUUGAGAAUGUUGGAGGUAAAAUGCUUGAUGCAGUUCUUGUGAAUAUGAAACUUCAUGGUCGUAUUGCUGUGUGUGGAAUGAUUUCACAAUACAACCUUGACAAGACUGAAGGAGUGCACAACUUGUUUUGCCUCAUCGCGAAACGAAUCCGUAUGGAAGGAUUUCUUGUUUUUGAUUACUAUCAUCUUUAUCCUAAGUAUUUGGAAAUGAUCAUUCCACAAAUAAAGGCUGGUAAUAUUGUGUAUGUGGAAGACAUAGCUGAAGGUUUUGAAAAUGCUCCUAGUGCUCUAGUUGGUCUCUUCUCUGGUCUCAAUGUUGGAAAGCAAGUUGUGAUGAUUUCAUGUGAAUGAAUGGAUUUGGAUCCUUUCCAUUUUCUCUCAAGUUUUUACUUGAAAGGAAAGCUAUUGUGUCAUGGUUUAAAUACUUAAAUACACAAACAUUUCUAUCAUGUAUUUACUAAUUCUCUGUAUGGUUUGAAAUAAUAAGUCAUUAAUUGAUAGUUUCAUACUAGAUUUCAAGUCAGAUAUACCAAGGUACAUGUAUUUUUGCUACUAGAUACAUUCUGAAAUGCAGAUACAUAGGAAGAGAGCGAGUGAGAGAGGAGAAGGAGAGAUGAGAGAGGCGAGAGGCAAGCGAAAGAGUUAGUGUAUCCCAGAUAUAUGCAAAUUACACUAGAUACAUGUAUCUGAGACUAGAUACAUGUAUUUGAGAUAUCAUAUACAAUUCAUAAACAUUCUGAAACAAAGAUACAUAAGGAGAGAGGUGAGCGAGAGAGGCGAGCAAGAUAAGAGAUAUGAGUGAGAGAGUCAGUGUUUCCAGAUACAUAUGAAUUACCCUUGAAUACAGUAUAUCAGAAAUAAAUUGGACCUAAUUUUAAUUCAUAUAUCCAAGAUACAUAUAUUUGGAUGUGUCGCAUACAUGUGUUUGGGAACGGAAAUCUGACACAAACAUUAAUUUCAAAGAUGCACAUAAUUAGACUCUAAACUAAAGAAAUUCUUAUUGUUUUCCCUUGAACUUAUUUAGGCAAAUAAAAGGUCGAAAGAGAUUUAAGAUUGCGAGAUUAAUAAUAAUUUAUAAAAUUAAAUAUAUUAUGUAGUAUUAAUUAUCUAAAUCAUAAAAAAGAUUUAUUUUGAUUAACUAAAUCUUAGUAAUUAAAUUUUAUUUAUAUCAAUUUAGGAAAAAUAAAAUGAAGAGGAGCCGGAUCCAGAUAUAUCCUUGGACAACUCUUGAUUCACAUAAAUUGAAGUGAGAAAUGGUAGAGGAAGUGAUGAACAACAAACAGAUCAUUCUAAAACAUUAUGUGGAAGGUUAUCCUAAGGAAUCUGAUAUGGAAUUUAAGAAUAACAACAUUAAAUUGAAACAAUUUACAAGUGAGUUUAAAUUUCCCAUGUAAUUGUGUAGACCUUGGAUGUUUUUUUAUUUAACAUUAUAUAGGGGUGUUUGGUAAUGAUGAGUAUAUUUUCUUAGAAAAUGAAUGAGUUUCAUAUUUAUUUUCUUAUAUUUAAUACGAGUAAGUAAAAAAUAUUUGUGUAUAAUCUAGAUAAAUACUAUGUGAGGUAGGCGUGUGGGAUAUAUAUUGCUUUCCGGUGGGGAUGAGAGUUUAGAUAAAGUGUGUUAGAGAACGGGAGGAGGACACAAUUGAAGUGGAAUUUCAUUUGUGAAACUUAUUUUCCUACUUCCAAGAUAACUUUUACGAUAUGAACAUGAAAAAAUUACUGGGCAUACGAGUUUGAUACCUUCGUAUCCGAGUUCUCAAAAUCUCACUCAAAAGGUUCUGAGUUGGAAUCCCAUUCUAACUAAGGAUUCUUAUGGUUCUGGAGGAUCCAACUACAUGAGAACCAGGAAUGGAGGGCUUCACCCCCCUCCCCCCCUUCCGCCUGACUCUUUGGUCUUAAGAACGUUGGUUUUAAGAAUGAGUCAUUGCCCUUCUCCGACCCUGACUGCCCAACCUUAGAGCGGACAGCUAAUGCGUUCCACUUAUUGAACAGGGUUCUAUGGUCGGUUUGUGACCCCCGGAUGCCGAAGCCAUCCUUGGGGUGAUCUCAUAGUUCCUACGGGGUGGAAAUGAUGGGAUCGGUUCAUGGAUUUUCCUUCCUUUUCUUUUGUUGCAUUUCACUCAAAGGGUUGAAUGGAGAUAGUGCAUCAAGCUUUUCGCUAGGGCCAACUUGAUCCUAUUCCCCAGAGAUCUCAGAUGAGAGAUAUCUGGGAGAGAAAAAUGUUUCCUCCGCGCACCCUAUUUCAUUUUUCAUAUCUUGAUAAUGUUUCUCAUAAGUACUUUUCUUUUCUAUUAUAUUAUAGCCUAUCACAGGAUGUGGAGUGGCUAAAGUUUUGAAGUCUGGUGACUCAAAUUUCCAAGAAGGGGUAGUGGUGAUUUUGGUAGUGGAGAAGAUAGGUAUGCUUCAUUUGAGGUGGAGAAUGGUUCAUCGAGUCAUCGAGGAUCUAUCGAUGAUGAUAUUGAAUGUGGUGAUAGUGAUGAUGAUGAUGAUGAUAAUCGCUCAGCUUUCUCGGAUUACCAUGACUCACCACAGCUAGUUUCAAAGAAUGGUGUUGCUGAAAUUGAUGUGUUGAAGACAUUUUUCUUAUACUUGUAUGGUAUUGUGUCAGCUUGUUCUUGACAUUGUAAGUAUUGAAUUUCGUCGCGUUUUGUCCUUUUUUCAUUGAUGUGUAUUGAAUUAUUUGUAGUAAUGAUUAUAUAUUAGAGAUUCAUAUGCCAGUAGAAAAUGUCGAGAACUUUUUAUUUCGUAAAAUGUUGGCCUAAGAUGAAUUGAGAUGGGGAACAUGAUCAAUGAGGACUGAGACGUAGUAGUUAUUGUUGUUGUUUUUGUGUAUUGAAGCUUCAGAAAUUUUGUAGUCAUUCUUAUACGUUUACUUUAGGUCCUGUGCUUUCUAGGCGUCAUUUCGUCCUAUAAAUUAGAGAUUCCUAUGCAAGUAGGUAAUAUAGAGAACGUCUAGUACUGUUCAUGAUUAUGUUUAUUUCGUAAAGUGUUGUCCUGAGGUGAAUUUAAGUGGGGAACUUGAUCACAUAUAGACGAUCCCAGCUUGUUUUAGACUGAGUGUUGUUGUUUAUUGAAGCUUAAAGGAUGUUUUUGCUCUUCUUAUGUGUUGACAUGGGGAAUAGAUACAAUAAAAGUCUUCUUGGGGAUAAACUAGGGAAGUUAAUUCCCUGCGCCUUUACUGAUGAACACUGUGCACUUUGCGAUGCAAGCUGUUUUGUCCAAGGCCAUUACCGGGUUUUGGCAUCAAAGAUUUCAACCUACAGUGAUGAUGUCUUGGAGAGACUAUUCUUUGAAAGGUAACAUUAAGACUAAUAAUUCCCUUUUUUCUUUGGUUAUGAUUGAGUAGAAAGCUAAAAGUAUUUGGAAGGCAUAUGAUGAUAUAGAGUAGGAAAUAUGUGUACAAUGUGUUUAUGCACUUCUCCAGUGGAUUUGUUUACGAAACAUAGAAAGACGAGAGUAGGAUUAUUAACGAGCUUGAAUGUAUGUGGAUCUUAUGAGUUGACAGCUUCAAUUAGCCAUAGUUUGUGACUUAGUUAAGCCCACAUGUUACACUUAUUAGCUUAUUACUGAUAUAUCGACAAUGGUUUCAAAUGAACUUUUAUGUACACAAAUAGAGGCAGUUCCUGUUACGUACGAGAAUCUCAAUUUUUAUCCAAGUUAGUUCUUCAUGAGUUCAAGACAUAUAAUCUCUUAUGUCUUUCAUUUCUAACCUUUAUGUAGGAAUCUUUUUCCACGAUAUCUUAAUGUCGUCUAUAAAUACUGGCUUUCAAUAUUAUCCUGUUAAUUGUUAUGUUCACUUCUUAACAACUAAUACUAUAGACGGCCUUUGCCUUUCACAGUUGUACCGACAGCUCUUACAACAGCAAUGAAUGUGAACCUCAGCAAUGCAUCCCUUGUUUUCAUCUCAGUCACAUUUGCCACUAUGGUGUGUAACUCUUUCUCCUUAAUAUUUUUUCGAUCAUACAGUUUGUGUCAAUACUGAUAGACUGCAAUUUUUUCUUCAAAAAUUGAGCUCUGAGAAAGCAUGUUUGUUAAACUCACGACCUUAACAUUCGUCGAGGGCUCUAGUAUUUGCAUUUAUGUACCUUGAAAUUUAGCAGUCACAACCCUCUGCCACUAAAGUAAGUGUGAUUGUCAAAGCCUUCAAGGGCCACUCAAAUAAUCGUCUAUUAUCGAUAAGAAUAACAGAUUUCUUACUUUGUUUUCUCCUUCCUUAUUCUGAUACGAACUCUCUGCCCAUCUUUCUCCUAUUCUUCGCAUUUGCUUUCAGGUACUACUUUUAACCACUGAUCUCUUAUGUUUUAUUGUGCUUUUUUAUGGGGGGUAGCGGGCCAGAAGCAUCGAAUUUCUACUUGAUCCUUUGUUAUAGAUGUACAUCCAACAAUAUUAUUCAUAAAUGCAACUUUUUUUUCCAUAUGAGGACUUAAUAGAAUGUGAUUGUUAAUUCGUUAUGGACUAAAAACCUGAAAGCGUCUAUGAAAUAACUAUCUUUGAUGAAUACGAUACAUUUGACAGGGCUCAUAUCUAAGCUGAAUAAAUGGCCUCAAUUAUUUGUGUAAGGUUGGAGUCUCCAAGUGUAAAGCUGCUGGGGAUCAUCUUGGUCAUUUCUUGUAUUAUUUAUUCUCAUUUAUGAAGAAGUAUUCAUAAUUUUCAUCUUCAUCUGUCAUUCAUAAAUCAUAUCCGUAACCUUCACUUGUGCACCAGAUAAAACGUUUACUUUAUCGUACAAUAUUUUCUCGUUUCACAACUAUCAUUGACAAUUUGGAUAAACUUAGGUAAUCUUCUUAAUGAGUGUUUUCGUAAGCUUUAUCGCCUUGUUGAUAACUGUGUCGUUUGUUAAUUUACAUCCGUUUGGUAGAUAAGUCUGACUCUAUUUUAUGAUAAUGCAGUUGCAAAGGUGACAGAAUUUGAGUUUUGGGGGUUUGUCUUUGUUAUGCUUGCUGCAGUUAUGUCUGGAUUUCGCUGGACUAUGACUCAGAUUCUUCUGCAGGUUGUAUUUUGUGACACUCGUUGCAUUGUUAUCGUUGAUUUCUUGUUCCAUUGUUUUGUCAAUAGUAUGUUUGCUUACUUUGUGUAUUUUCUGUUUGUUUUCCCAUAUCCAACUGGUUGUGCUGAACAUAAAACUGGCAUAAAGAAAGAAGCCUAUGGUAAGGACUAUGAACAACUCUUGGCAAAUUUUAAAUAUUCUGGAAAUGUUAUUAUCACCAUCAUCAUUAUUAUUAGCAGUCGUAGCAGCAGCGACUGCACCACUACUUAGACUACAUCAAAUCUGAUCUUGUUUUAAAAGGGCAGUCCGAUGCACGAAGCAUCUCACAUUCACGCAGGGUCCAAGGUAGGGCCACACCUCAAGAGAGCAUGAUGUAGGCAGCCUACCCUGAUACAAAUCAGCGGCUAAUUCCAUAGCUCAAACCCUGCUUUGUCUUAGUCCUAGUUUUGACCAAAUUAAUAUGUUGAUUCGUUAUUUGUUUUAUAGUUUGUGAAUAAAUUGUGUAAUGAAAUGCAUGCUUUGGUUAUUGCAGGUCUAAAAAAUCCACUCACACUAAUGAGCUAUGUUACUCCAGUAAUGACUCUUUCAACUGCUGUGUUGUCCCUUAUUUUUGAUCCGUGGCACGAAUUCAGACACACCAAUUACUUUGAUACGUCAUGGCAUAUAGCUAGAAGUUGUUUGUUGAUGCUUUUUGGCGGAACUUUGGCUUUUUUUAUGGUAUGUAUGUGUCUAAGCACUGGUAUCAGUUCAAUUUGUGGAUUUUCCAUCUCAUAGUGAAAAUGAAGCCUUCUAAUAGGCUUAGUUCGUUUAGAAAUGAUUAUCAAUUAUUAAAGAACUUGGACGAACAUAACGAUAACUUCUUCAUGCUUACCUAGCAACGUUUGUUUACUGCAGGUGUUUGUUCCUAGCACUUCAGUCGUCCUAAAUCAAAACGACUGUAUGUUUACUUAAGCUAUAGUAGUUCAAUCAAAAUUGUUGAUAUCGAGCCAUUUUUAGUCGAAAACGUGACUUUGGCAUGGUUUAAUGGCAUGUGUUGAAGUCGUAAUUUUUCCAUUUUCCUUACUCAGGUAUGACAAAAUUACAUAAAGGUAGCACAAGUGAAGAUGAAACUGGAUCACCAUUAGGAUAUGCAGCUACCAAGUAUGUUAUACUUGAAGAAAUGGAAGAUCAAGACCAUGGUCCUUGAAGUAUUAUUACAUAUGACAUUCCAACUACGCUGCACUCUGAUGGCGUUUUGUAUUUGCAACGGAAGGAAAGGGACGAAAAAAUGCAUAGAUUUUCUAGCAAAUGAAGGUCAAUCGUAUACAUGAGGAAGAUUUCUUAAUCAAGGAAGAUGAGGAAGUUGAGAUUUUUCGCCUAGUAGACUUUAAGACAUGUUGCUUAUAGAAGAUAUUAGGACUUGAAAAAGAAACUUACAAAAAUGUUACUGGUUAAGAACUAACUACUUAAAUACACUACAUUACAAUAUUCGGAAUUUUACCAGAUUUUGGUGCAUCGAGAAAAUAUGUACUAGGAAUAAAAUAAAGAUUAUUUCGCUCGAUCUAGGUAUCGCCUAUAAGUUUCUCAAAAGAUUAUUUUACAUGACAUGUUUAAUAUUACAAAAUUAAAGUGUAUUUUGAAACAUUAUACAUAUUUUUAGUUUAAGAUCAUGAGAUUUUAAAAGUCGUCUUUACUUUCUUAUAUCAAUAUUAUGUAUAACCAAGACAUACAAAUUAAAAUUAAGGGAGUAACUUAAUUAGUACUAAUUUUUUUUUAAAAAACAAAUUUACCACUAGACAGUGUCUAGUGGUAUUUUAUUAAACAUAAAAAAUAUCAACAGGAACAAGUACAAGCAAGGGGGCUAGGCCUUACCUUACUAAUCCUAAUAAAGUACCUAACAAGCAUGAAGAAAAUAAGAGCUAGAGAGAACUAAAUAUUUUUUUAUUAUCACAAAGUUUGUAAUACACUCAAUGAUGAUAUUACAAAUGAGGAUGCUUAAAUAAUGUAAAAGUAUGUCAAUCAAGAAGCAAGUUGAGUUACCAGCCUAAAACUUUCUAUUACUAAAGCAUGAAUUAAAAAAGAUUGAUUAUCCAUCAAAAGUAACUUGAAGUAUUUUUCUCUUGUCUUCUUCUUCAAACCUAUCCAACAACACUUGAUGAUUCAUACCUUCUUUAUGGAUUUAUUGGAUCUAGUUGAACCUAUUGAUACUGUCAAAUGGUUUUGCUUUGCCUGUCACAUUGGUAGGUGCCUUGGAACAAACUCCUCAGUCAUUUUACCGUCCCAACUAUGUUGCCUUCCAUAUGUCUUCUUUUUGCUUUUGUUGCUUCCACUUCUUUGUUGCCUAGGUGAUAUAUCCCCUUCCUUAGCCACUCUAUCAAAGCAAAUGUCCAACAUAUUGUCUUCCUCAUCUUCAUCAAGAGAAUCCUCACCCAAAUUCACUCCAUCUUCAUCAAGAGAAUCCUCACCCAAAUCAAUUGUAUUUGACACUAAGACACUCGACUCAUUGUUCCUUGCAAGCACACAUUUAGGCACAAAUACAAGAGCUUCUGGACUUAAUUUGCUAUUUAAAGCAGGUGGUGAGACUUGUUUUUCUUGGAUCAAAUCGUGGUCAUUCUCUGUUAACCUUAUUUGAUUUGCUUGACACUAUUCUUUUAGUACUGGAUACAUGACAAUUCCAACACAAAUGACAAACCCAAUAACACAGAUGAAAGGACAACUAAAUUUCUUUUUAAAAACUAUUUUAAAUUACUCUAUUAAUUAUUCUAAUAUAUAAUUUUUUUUUAUCUCAAUAUAUGUGAUACUGAUAAAUUUUCGAGAAUACUCACAACUAUUGAAUUCCACAUGCAGUUUGUGUGGCUGUGUGCGGAAAGCUCUAUAUGUCUCCAUCUUUUUUAUUUCUUUUUCUUUAUACUUGAAAAUGUCGUUUGUUAGGUGGGAUAAGACGUGAUACUUUUGAGUUACUCUAGAGAUAAAAUUUAUUUCAUUAGUUGAGAUAUUUAAUGAGAAAAUUAGUUAUCUCACUAAUAUAUAUAAAAUAACUUAUUUUAUUAUAGUAAAAUAAAUAAUUUCAAAACCGACUUAUGCUUCUAAUUAAAUGAAAAAUAAAAUUAUUUAUAUUUUAUUUUGAAAUUAUUAUCUCGUUUUCUUGGUACCAAUUUGAUAUGAACCGUUAAGCUUUUCCUCUUCAAUUAUUUGGGAGCACGCUUAGUUCUUAUUUUUUGUAUUAUAUAGUUUUAAUAAAUAGUGAUUUUAGUGAUAAUUUCAGUUUUAUUUUAUGUGUUAUUUGACUAUACACAUUUAAUCUUAAAUUAUUAAAGUUGGGGUUUUGAUGCCUGAAGUUAACAAAAGUUAACUACAUUUAUUUAAUAAAAUGAUUAUUUGAAAAUAUUAAAAAUAGAAUAAAUGGUUGAUGAUUCUAAAUACUUGAGUGAAUAGAUUUACUCCAGUCCCUUAGCAAAAUUAAAAAAGCAAGUCAUAUCAUCUUCCAUUCUAAGUAUUCGAUUAAAUUCCUAGCUAAAACGAUAGUCUAGUUUUAGAAUUUAAUUACUCAAUCACUUUUUUGUUUGAAGACAAGGUUAGAAAAUUCGCAAAAUCACACUCUUUAACAUCUUGACACAAGCCUACUCUUCGUGGGAUCAACCCAAAUUUUUAUAAAAUAAGCAAAAAAAUUCAUAACAAAAAUAUAAUAUAUUAUCAUAAAAUUAUUUUUAAAAUCUACAAUUUUUAUUGAUUGAACUUUAGUUUAAUAAAAAAAAUUAUAAUUAAAUAUUACUCCCUCCAUCCUAUUUUAUGCGGCACUUUUUGGAUUUCGAUAUUCAAACAAAUCUAUCUUUGACAGUAAAUUUUUCAUAGAUCUUUUAAACAUUUUGAAUUAUCAAUUAUUGUGAAUUUUUGUACUUUCUACAUAGUUUACAAAUAUAUAAAUUACAUUUUAAAAAAUUGCAGAUUUCGUACGCAAAUUUUCGGUCACACUUAAACUGUUUGACUCUCGAAAAAUGAAAAUUGUCACAUAAAUUGGGACAGGAAAAUAAUAAUAUUAAUAUCUAGCAAUAUUUAAUAAUUUACCGGUUGGUACACCUAACAACCUCGCACAUGAAUAGCAACAAUAUUUUAAUAAAAGAUCCGUACACAUUUAUGUAAUCUGACUGAUUUGAAUUAUGCGAAAUAAAAUUUAUCUUAUAAAUUGAGAUAUUUUAUGAGAUAAUUAAUUAUUUUACUACAUAUAAAAAAAUAAUUUAUCUCACCAUUAUAAAUUAUAUAAUUUAAGAACUAACUAAUACUCCUUAUUAUAUUAAAUAAAAAACAAUUUUAAAUUUUAGAUCAAAAUAAUUACCUCUCUUUUUCCUCUUCAAUUAUUAGGGUCACGUUUAAACGACUUGCACAACAUUUCUAGCUGUAAUUGGUAGGUAAAGUCCUUCAGUGAACAGCUAAAAAAAACAAAAAAAAAAAGAAUAAAGCAUAGAACAUGUGGGAAAAAAGAUAUUAUUCCCUCCAUAUUAUUGUGUAGGUGACAUCUUUUCACUUUGACACUAAAUUUAAAAAAGAAAAGAUUUUGCAAUUUAUAAUUUAAAAUAAUUUAUAGUUAUCUAAAUAUCUAUGACUCGAUUAUUUUAUUACAUAAGUUUUAAAAAAUGUUCUUUCUUACUUUCUUAAAUUUAAUGUUGAUUUAAACUAAUCUGGUCAAUUUAUGUAGCACUUUUCAUUUUUUUGAUAGUCAAAUGGUCUAAUAAAAAAUUUGUGCAUGUGAUCUUCAAAUUUUUUGAAAUUAAAAUUACAUAUUUAUAAACUACGUAAUAGUACUAGAAAUUACAAAGAUAUAUAAAAAAAUUUAUAAUCAAAGAUAAAAUUGUUUGAAUAACAUUUAAUUAUGUGAAUACUCCCUCCGUCCUAUUUUAUGCGGCAUUUUUUGGAUUUCGAUAUUCAAACAAGUCUAUCUUUGACAGUAAAUUUUUCAUAGAUCUUUUAAACAUUUUGAAUUAUCAAUUAUUGUAACUUAUAGUACUUUCUACAUAGUUUACAAAUAUAUAAAUUACAUUUAAAAAAAUUAUAGAUUUCGUACGCAAAUUUUUGGACACACUUAAACUGUUUGACUCUCGAAAAAUAAAAAUUGUCACAUAAAUUGGGACAGGAAAAUAAUAAUAUUAAUAUCUAGCAAUAUUUAAUAAUUUACCGGUUGGUACACCCAAUAACCUCGCACAUGAAUAGCAACAAUAUUUUAAUAAAAGAUCCGUACACAUUCAUGUAAUCUGACUGAUUUGAAUUAUGCGAAAUAAAAUUUAUCUUAUAAAUUGAGAUAUUUUAUGAGAUAAUUAAUUAUUUUACUACAUAUAAAAAUAUAAUUUAUCUCACCAUUAUAAAUUAUAUAAUUUAAGAACUAACUAAUACUCCUUAUUAUAUUAAAUAAAAAUCAAUUUUAAAAUUUUAGAUCAAAAUAAUUAUCUCUUUUUCCUCUUCAAUUAUUAGGGUCACGUUUAAACGACUUGCACAACAUUUCUAGCUGUAAUUGGUAGGUAAAGUCCUUGAGUGAACGGCUAAGAAAAAAGAAUAAAGCAAAUUAUUGCAGGUGACAUCUUUUACACUAUAUUUUAAAGCAAAUUAUUGCAGGUGACAUCUUUACACUUGACUAUUUUAAAACAAAAAAAAAAUUAAAAUUUAUAAUUUAAAAUAAUUUAUAGUUAUCUAAAUAUCUAUGACUCGAUUAUUUUAUUUCAUAAGUUUUUUAAAAAAAUCUUUCUUACUUUCUUAAAUUUAAUGUUGAUUUAAAUUAACUUGGUCAAUUUAUGUAGCAUUUUUCAUUUUUCGAUAGUCAAAUGGUCUAAUCGAAAAUUUGCGCAUGUGAUCUUCAAAUUUUUUGAAAUAAAAAUUAUAUAUUUAUAAACUACGUAAAAGUACUAGAAAUUACAAAGAUAUAUAAAAAAAAUUAUGAUCAAAGAUAAAAUUGUUUGAAUCUUAUGAAAGCAAUUAUAUUAUUAUCGGUGGUCGUAUUUGUACUACUAAGUCCGUGAUCACCUCCUUUCGCAUGUUAACUGCUUUUCAUUACUUGUACAUUUCAUAAUUUUUUAAAUACAUUAUACAUAUUUUUAAUUUACAAUUAUGAGGUUUUAAAAGUCGUAUUUACUUUCUUAAAUUAAUAUUCUGUCAAACUAAGACACAUAAAUUGAAAUUGAGGGAGUAACUUAGAGGGUGUUUGGAUUGAUUUAAAAAUUGAUAAAACGUAGUUUUAAGUCAGUUUUUUUACUUUUGAAAGUGUGACAAAUACAUAAGCUUGUUAAAAUACAAACCCAAUAAUUACAAGUUAUCUUUCUUUGAUCAAGUUAUAUAUACAUUACUUGUUCAUUUCAUUCUUUUUAGGACAAGUUAAGUUUGAGUACAUUUAACCAUGAACUAUUCAAUGCAAGUUAAUAUUUUGUCCAAAAACCUCAUUAAACCAUCAUUACCAACGCCACAACACCUUAAAAAUUACAAGUUAUCUUUCUUUGAUCAAGUGGUGGAUGUAAUACACUUACCUCUUGUUCUUUUCUAUCCUCAUUGUAGAAAUAACUCGAAAAAUGAAGAGCUCGAAGAGUCCUUUUCGAGGAUUUUAACACAUCUUUACCCUUUAGCUGGUCGAUUUUCUGAAGAUGAAUCGUCAAUUCUUUGUCUCGAUCAAGGUGUAAGUUAUAUAAAAGCAACGGUCAAUUGUAAGCUUGAUGAUUUCCUUCAACAAGCAAACAAAGACCCUGAUCUAGCAUUGUCAUUUUGGCCUCAAGGAACUAUGGAUGUGGACGAGACGAAUUUAUUCGUCACGCCAGUUAUGGUUGUGCAAGUCACAACAUUUGAAUGUGGUGGUCUAGCCCUAGCUAUUAGCCAUGCACACCCUGCUAUGGACGGAUCCACCACAUUCAAAAUCAUUUACGAAUGGGCUAAAGUGUGCAAAUUUGGUACUCCUUCUAAGGAGAUCAACUUCAUGAACUUCAAUUUAGGCACUCUUUUCCCUUACAAGAAAGAUCUAACAACCAUUCUUGAGCCUCCGGUUGACGAAGGCAAACGUCCAAACUCUAAGUUAAUUGCCAGAAAGUUUGUUUUUGAGGAAGAUGCAAUAUCGAGGCUCAGAGAAAAAUUUGACUCAACAACUGGCGAAGGUUUGAGUUUCAAACCUUCGAGAGUUGAGAUGAUUACAACACUUUUAUGGAGGUCACUUAUCCGUUCCACAGGAAGUACUUCACAUUUGAAACGGUCUGUAAUGUCAUUUCCACUUAACUUGCGUGGUAAAGUAGCAACUUUUCCUGAAAUUGCCAACUCUUUUGGGAAUCUUAUCAUCGAUAUUCCAAUAAAAUUUGAACACGACGAUGAAACAAAAAUGGAGUCGUUGCAUCACAUUGUAAAACUCAUAAAAGAGUCAGUUCAAGUGAUUAUCAGUAAAUGUGUCAAAGCUACUCCGGAUGAAAUAGUUUCUUUGGUUAUCGACUUAUACAAGGAUAGUUACGCCGGAUUAGAAUGGGGAGGAGACAAUGAAGUUGUGAAUUUUACAUGCGCAAGUUUAUGUAGGUUCCCCAUACAAAAAACUGAUUUUGGUUGGGGAAACCCAAGUUUAAUGCACUUUGGGUCAAGACAUAGCCAAGUUUUUUGGUUGUAUGAUACUGAAUGUGAGACUGGAAUUGUUGUGCAAAUGGAAUUGGAGGAAAAAUACAUGGAUAAACUUGCAUGUGACCAAGAUAUCAUGGAUUUUGUUAAAUUUUAGGGUUUAAUUUUCAUGUUCUUUCUUCAUUUAAUUUGUACUCCCUUUGUUUUAAUUUAAGUACGUGUGUUGCUAUUGCUUUUCUUUGGUUUAAUUUGUUUUGAAUAUAAAUAUCACUUUCUAUGAACACGCUUUGACUAUAAUUAAGUAGCAUUUCACUACAACAAAUGUGAUAUUUAGUUACGAAAUUAUUAGGUAAGAUACUAAAUUCGUCACUAAUUAUUCACCUUUUGUGACAACAAUUAUAUUUCGUGUUUAAAUGUAUGAGCAAAAUACUUUUAGUGACGAAACAUACAAUUUCGUAGCAAAGUUUUGUCCAUUUAAGUUUCCCACCAAAAAAAAGAUUGGCGCCAUUUAUUAAGAACUAUUAGUGACGCAUUUUAAGUUAUCAACGACAACUUAUUUUGUCACUAAUAAUGCAUCCAAUUUGUGACAAAUUAUUAUUUGUCUUAGAUGAGUUAUAAUUUUGGACACGAAGAUUUUUUUUUUACUAAAGAUAAGUUAUUGCAAUAGCGACAAAUUAGAAUUUGUAGUCAAAUGUUGUAAGCUUUAGCCACAAAAUUUAUAUUUAAUUGCUAUCUAAAUUUUUGUCACUAAUAAUAUAAUCAAUUAGUGACAAACAUUUUCUUUUCUCUAAUCAACUUAUGAUUUAGUGACAACAUACUUUUGUCACAUAAUAUGCAAUAUUUAAAAAGCAAAAAUUUAAAAUUUGCAGCUGAAUAAUUUUAUUAUUUUCUAUUUUUUUUUAGCUAAAUAUAAAAUAAUAUUUGAUUAGGCUUAUUAUUUACAAUUGCAAAUAGCAACUGACGAAUAUUUCUUUAAAGCGUUCUGUAUAGGUAACAACAAAAGAAAACUAUAGAAUGAUAUAAUGAUAUGAUGAUAACGUCAAAUUAUACCUUAAGAAAAUUCAAGUGCCGAUGCUAACAUAAAAUCUAAUGUGAGUGGGGAUUGUGAUAUGACAGAGAGCAAUUAUACAAAAGAUAACAUCGAUGGUAAGUUUAUUUUGCAAAUUUUUUAAAUAUUUUAUGGAUAUUUAAUUAACUAUUUUCUAUAAUGACUAAAAAUAAGUUUAAUUGUGGAGGUCUCAAGAACCCCAACUAUUUGAUUUUAAUAAAAUUAGGGAUAAGGGUCUGAAAAAUACCCCAACUUUGGUCGAAUUUGCUGUUGCGAUACUAAACUUUCAUGUGGACCUAUUACCUCCCUUAUGAUGUUUGAAUUUAGAUGCAUAUCUAAAUAUUAUGAUGGGAAUUUAGAUUAAGAUGUAUAAAUCUAAAUAUGCAUCUCAAAAUUGAGAUGUUUUAAAAUUUGAAUACUAAAUAAUUAUGAUUAUUAUAAAUAUAUUAGUAUGUAAAAUUUAUCUUUAUUUAUAAUACUAAUAAAAAAAUUAUUAAAAUGUGAACUUAAUCUAAUAAUAUAUCAAUAAUAGUUUUUUUAAAAAAAAUAAAUUAAUGGCAGUUAGUAGUGACGAUGCCUAGUUGUGGUGGUUGUGGCCUUGUGGGUGUGGAUACCCUGUUUUACCAAAGAUAUUUUUAAUUAAUUAAUUAAUUCAUUUUUCUUUUAACUUAAUCAAGUUUCGUGAAUUUCAAACAAAGUGAAAUAACUAUUUAAAUGUGUCAAAACUAUUUUUAUAAUUAUUGUUGGUGCUAUUUUGUUAUUUCAUUUACCAAAAUAUCCUAAUAUACUAUUAUAUAUUUUACAUAUAAUUUUAAGUAUUAAUUAUUUCAUUUUAUUAAUUUAAAAACUACUUUAUUUAUUAAAAAACCAAAAGUGAGUAUGUUUUUUAUUUUGUCAAAUUAAAGCCAACUGUGGUUUAAUUAUAUGAUCAGGACUCCACUAUUACUAAUAAUUACUUUAUUUUGCUAAAUCAAAGGAUUUCAUUAUUAAAUUAAUUAAUGAUUAUCUCAAUUUUACUACAUAUUGCCUUUUUCAUAAAUAUCUUCAAUUAUAAAUAAUUGAUUAAAUUUGAUUAUUUAAUCAAUAAUUGGUCACAAUUGCAACGUGAAUCGGUUAUGUUUGAAAGAAUUAUGGCUAUAACUUAAAAGAUGAUUGAUUAAUUUUUAAAUUUAAUUUGGGUCAUUUUCACUCUUAAAGAACAACUUUCAAUCUUAGCUCUUUCCCACGUCAACUUUAGUAAUGACCCUAAGAUGGACUGGUUUUGAUAAUUUGUCCCUUCUAAAUUUUUUAGUCUAAAAUGACCUCCGUAAUGGGUGAUCUUGAUUUUUCAACCCCGUUAAAUAUUAUUUUUUUCUUUUAUAAAAAAUCCUUUACUUUAGAAAAUUCUAACUUUUGCCCAUAAGACAAUUUUCAAGAUAUUUUAAGACAAUAAACCUUCUCAAUUGACAUGAAGUUCUGCCUAUCAACAAAAAUUAGAACUUAGGUAUGAUCAGACACGAUUUCUAACUUUUUUCCCCUUAAGACAUUCAAUCAAGACAUCUUAAAAUAUAAUUUGUUCAAUUCAAACUUCGAUUAAGGUAAAUUUAAUCUUUUAUUUUAAAAAAAAUACUAUUAUACAACAUAUAAAAUUAAUUCAAUAUGAUUCGAUAAUUUUAAAUUUUAUUUUGAUAUUUUGCAGUAUCCAUGAAACAUUGGCAACCAUAGUUGAUUCAACUUCGAUUUAUUUAUAGUCAUAUAAUAUAGAAUUAUGAUUUAUAUUUUUUUUAAAAUAAACAUAUAAACAAAUUAUAUCAUAUUUACACCUUACAAUCUUACGUAGAAAUAUAUGUUAAGGAAAUUACAAGCUACCUUUUUUGUGAAUCAAUAAUUUUGGUAUCUGUUUCAAUAUCAAAUAUUUUGUAGUCAAAAUUUAAACAUCUUCACAUUUAAUUUUGUACUAACAUUAGGUUGUAUGAUAUAUACUAUAACUUUUUAUGUAGCUAUACAUUUUGGCAUAUUUAUAAAUAUCUAAUACUAAAAGAAUUUAAUAUAUAUAUAUAUAUAUAUCAUAAUACUGCAAGCACAGUAUUAAAAUUUUUGACUUGAUAUCUAAUGUAUCACGUGCACCAUAAUGUUGUGCGUUAACUCAUUUAAUUGGGCUACAAAUGAUAGAUUAUAUCAGUUUGCCAAACACAUAAUUUCAUUUUAUUCUAGAGGUCUAGUUUGAUGCUACAUAUCAACUGAUGUGGUAUACCAAAUCAAAUAAAUGAGAAAAUAAGAUCAUGUCACAUAUCAAAAUGACAUAACAUUACAUUUGAUGAGAAUAAAAAUAUACAACCGCAUUUGACUUGUUUCGACAAUUAAAUAUCACCAUGUCAUUUGAACCUGACAAAUCAAAAACAAUUUAUUCUCAUCAAAAUUUUUCAUCUUAUAAUUAUAAAUAAAUAGGAGUUCCUAAUUAAGAAAAGUCAUUAAAAUUUCAAAAAAAACAACCGUGGGUCAAGAAUUACAAAUUUUCUAUAAGUUGCAAGCAUUCAAACAUUUGUGUACACAUUAUAAUUACUUGAAAAUAAAGGACAUAGAUAAAUUAAAUAUCAAAACCUUCCAGAUCAAAUUCACUUGUUUGUGGAAAAACUUGUUUAAGGCGGUCAUCAAAGUACUUAUGACAAAUCAAAUUCAAGUCAAAAUAUAUCAAAUCCAACAUAAAUUCAAGAUCAAAUUAAAAACGUUUGAAAUUAUUUUGAAAAUGAAGAACUAGAAGAUUUAUACAAAUUGUAACACUCAUAAUAUUUUUCUAUCUUGAUUAUUAAUUUUUAUACACAAAUUUUAUUGUUUGUAGCCAUAAAUUAUGGGUAAUAUAAUAAAUUUAAAAUGUGAAAAUAAAAGGAAAUCAACACAUUUCCCUGCAUCCACCAGGUAUCUUUAUAUUAUAAUAAAUACUUAAUUUUCUACCAAACUUUCUUUUUAUAUUUAUAUUUCCCUUUGUUUUAAUUUAUUUUCCAAUGAUUCAAAAAAAAAAAAAAAAUUCCAAACUCUUUUGUUUUUAGUUUAUUUUUAAAAUAAAUUCUCUUUCCUUAUUGUGGUAAGUCUUUAAUUAUAAUUUUUACAUGAUAUAUUUAAAAUUAGAAGAUUAAAAACUAUUUUGACACACUUCACUUAUUUUUAGUUUAAGAAUACACAAUUUAAAAACUCUUAUUUACUUUCUUAAAUUUUAUGUUAAGUCAAAAUCAAAUAAAUUUCUUAAAUUUUAUGUCAAAUAAAAAUCAGAUAAAAGUAUUUAACAAAAUCACAUGAAGAAAGUAAAAGAGGGUAUUCAUUUCCAAAUUUGUAGGAAAAAAACACACGUAAUUCUCUCAUUUCCUGUUCCUUCUCCACAAAUCUCUCUUUUAGUUAUUAGCCACAUCCACUCCUUAUCUCCCCACGUAAUACUUCUCUCCCAUUAUCUUCAUUUUUAUUUUUUAUUUUUAUUGAAUUUUGAGUUUUUUAUCUGCAUAAUCCUUAAAUAUAAUAUGAAUAUGCAACUCUCUUACUUUCUGCUAUACCUCAUUUGAAUUUUUAGUGGGUUUCUUAAGUUUAUUUUAAUUUGUGAACUUUGUCUCCCUUCACUCUAGUGUUCUUUUUUUUAAAAAAAAAAUAGUAUGAUAAUUUAACUACGAGUUACUUGUGUUUAGCCUAUGAGUUUGUUCUGUGUUAGAGACUUUUAGGGACUUGUUAAAAAAUAUGAUCUAAUUUUUUCGACUGCUCUAUAUACUAAGUAAGUUUCUUCAUCUCGAUUGUUGAUUUUUUUUUGUUUGCAGACAAAACUCAAGGUCUAUAUCUUUAGAAAAGAGGGAAUGACAAUUUUACCAUGUAAUUUGAGUUAGUAUCUUUUCUAUUUAUUUCUCAUUCUAAUAUCAAUUUUACAAUUAAAUUUUGAAAAUAUGUCAUGUUUAUAUCAUAAUUGCAGCGAGUACAUAUUAAAAUUGUAUUCUUUUCCUUUUCACACAGGUAUGUACAUGAAUGGAAAAAUUGAAUGAAGAGUAAAGUUAUCAGAUAAGUUGUUUACAUUAGCAUAUAAGAAGUAACAUUUUUAUUUUCUUAUUGACGACACAUUAUGUACAUUCGUUAGGAUCAUAUAAUAAUCUUUAAUGAGAUUAUUUCAAUAUUAUUUUAGUUCUAAAAUAUUAUAGGAUCAUGAGUGACACUUUUUGUUAUUAUGUUAAAUUUUUUAUUUUGUUAUGUUGAGUUUAUAUUAUAAUAUGAUAUCUGCUAAGUUUAAAAAUUAAAUUUAAUAUUUGUCAUGAUGUUAAUUUAAUAAAUUUUUACGACUUAGACUUUUCCUUGUAAAAUUUUUAUAUUGAUGAAUUAAUUAAUCUUGUAAAAUAUGAGAAAAUUUGGCACCAUGUAUAAAUUAUAAAAUUAACGAGAAACUAGUGAAUUAUUACCAUUUACAAGUUUGAACGUCAUCAAAUGUUUGUUGUUUUAACUGUAUGAUAAUGGAUGAAUUUUAUUAUUAUUUAAGAUAUUUUAAUUAUUUAUUUUUCAAUUUAUGUAAUUCUAAUUUAAAAAAUAAUAUCAAUACGAAUAAUUAAAUGUCAUCGAAUAUUUGUGCUCAUCAAAAGAUUAUAUCAUCAAAAGUAACUUUUAGCAAGGACUAAAUCAUACUUUUCAAGACAAAUAUUUUUUUCACAAAUAAAUUAUUUCGUCAUAAGUCGACUACAUUUAGUGACAAACUAUAUUGUCACUAAUCAUGAUUAUUUACAGUGACAAGUAUAUCUUGUCGGUAAAAACAAUACUUUUAGUGACAAGAUGAUAGAUUUAACUACGAAAUUGUUAACCUUUUUAUGAUGAUAAAUUUGUCCCUAAUUUAUAUAUUUUAGGACGAAAUAAUUUUUUUAUAUAAAAACAAGUCAUUAGUGACAAAAUUACAUUUUUUCAACUACUAAAUACAUAUAACUUUAGAGACAAUUGAUGUUGUCACUGAUUGAACUAAAUAUAUAGUGAUGGUGUAAUUUUGUCGGUGAAAAUAACUUUUUAGUGACAAAAUCAUACUAUUAACAAAAAAUUUACACUUUUUAUGACAUAUAGAUUUGUCACAAAUAUCGACACAUUUGGGGACGAUUUUUCUUUUUGUAGUUAAUAUAACUUUGUUAGUGACGAUGCACUAAAUCGUCUUUGUAUACUUUUAGUGACGACUGAUUGACGAAAUUUUUUUCGUCACAAGAUCUUUGGUGACGAACUAUGAUUUAUAAGUGACGAAAUCAUUUGUCCUUGAUAGUCAAAUUUGUUGUAGUGUUUUAAGUUGUAGAAAAGAUUAUACUAAAAUAAAUGGGAGAAGGCACAGGUACCCCUAGACUAUGAUAGAAAUUCCAGAGACAUACCUUAACUAAACUAAAGUCCUAUUACCCCCUGAACUCAUUUUAUAUAUAAUAUUGUACACCUUUUGGCUUAUAUAGACUAGAGCUGUCAAUAUGGGCUAGCCCACCCCAUCCGGGCUGACCCAUACAGGCUUUGACAUUUUACGGGUCAGGCCGGGCUAGCCCAUUUUUGGUGUGGGUUAGAAAACGAUCGGCCCAGCCCACAAGUACAUGGGCUACAGGCUUGCCGGGCUAGCCCACUUUUUUUAAAAUUAUAUAUUUUUUAUAAUUAUUAAAAUAAAUUAUAAAUUAUAAUUUAAAAAUAUUAUCAUAAAUAUCGACAAAACAAUAUUACAUGGUGUUAAUGUUACUACUUGUUAAUCAAAUCCACAAAUAAAAUUAUCUUUAUAAUAAUUAUUAAGGUUUUUUCAAAUAAAAGUAUAAAUAUCUAAAUAGAAAUAUUAACAUAAUUGUUUUGUCACAUUAAAACACAAAAAAUGUGACAAUAUUCCAACCAUAAAAAAGUUAAAAAUAAACUCCUUAAAAAAAUCAUGAAACUUAUGGCAUAUCUAACANNNNNNNNNNNNNNNNNNNNNNNNNNNNNNNNNNNNNNNNNNNNNNNNNNNNNNNNNNNNNNNNNNNNNNNNNNNNNNNNNNNNNNNNNNNNNNNNNNNNNNNNNNNNNNNNNNNNNNUUUAAUUUUAAAUUUUAAUAUUAUAUUAUAUUUUUAAAAUUAUUUUUAUUUGGCCCACGGGCCGGCCCUACCUAUAUUUCUCAAGCCCCACAAAUCAGCAGGCUUAUUCAGGCUGGGCUAAAAAGCCCUUUUCUUAAAUGGGCUCCAAAAAUCUUAGUCCAGCCCUAUUAAAUCCCGGGUUAGGCCAGGCCGGCCCAACGGGCCUAGCCCAUAUUGACGGCUCUAAUAUAGACACGUGAUUUUUGACCGAGCAUAAGACUUUACACUUGUUUUUAUUCCUUAAAUAUUUAUUUUAGGUUAAGUUAGAUAUUUUGAUUUUUGUCUUAUUUUAGUAAGUUUAUUUUAAAAGAUUUGAAAAUAACAAAAAAGAAAAGAUAUUUUCAAUAUAUUAAACUUGUUGGACAUUUAAAAAAGAAACUCGUUGGACAUUUAAAAAAUAUUUUCUUUGAUUAUAAUCUUUUUUUUAAAAAUAUUUUACAUUAUUAAUAAUUCUGAUUAAACCAAAGUAGCGUGUGAUUUUGAUUUGCUUUAAUAUCAUGCUGGAAUGAGUCAAAGAUUGUUAGAAUAAAUAAAUAAAUAAAUAAAUAUAUAUAUCAGUUUUUAUUUUGGGCCUAAGAAUUAUAUGAAGGGAUGGAGUUUUAAAUUUCAGUUAUGUGCUUUUGCGGGCUAUUUUUGCUGUUAGUUUUAUUAUUAUUUUGUACCAAUAAUAAAAUAUAAUUUUUAAUAUUGCUUUAAUUAGUUGAUAUUUUAUUAUAAUUUAUUAUUUAUAUGUAUAGUUAAUUAUUAUUUUUUUAAAAGUAAAAUAAAACUAAAACUAAAAAUAAGAAAAUAACUCACCCCCACAAAUCCCAUAUACUCACCGUUAUCAUACCACAUUCUCGAGUCAUGAUGGCACCUACUAUACCCUACCAGUAGGUAAGCCAACCCGUAACCCAGAACAUCAAGCAAUGAGUGAAAGGGCAAAAACUAGCGAAAAUAAUAAUCUAAACCAGAAUAACAAGGCGGAAGCAACCCAAAAUAAAUAUAUACAGAAAUACCCUCCCAGAACCUGGAAGUCACUAGUACAGAGCUAUACUAAUAAAGAGUACAAGUCCCAAAGUGGACCACAACAGAGCGUGUCUCAAAGGCAACAAGACUAGCUAAAAACAAAAGAAGGAGACAGAACAAACCCCAAAAACGUCAAAGUAGCUCAACCCUCGUCUCCGAAUCACAGCUGCAAAAGAAGGCUGGAACUAAUCACCGCUAGUAACUGGUACUGGGACCUGCAUCACAAAAUAGAUGCAGAGCGUAGCAUGAGUACCAACACAACAUGUACUCAGUAGGUAUCAUAGGUCGACUGAGCAAAAAGGGUAAAAACAAUAAGAAAUGACAGAAUCAAGACACAGAGAGGUCAAAGCGAAUAAGAAAAGAAAGCACACGAGCAUACCAGAAAAAAACUAAGUACAACUAAACUAAACCUAACUGGACCCCCAAAAGCCCAGAAGGUACACUCGUGCGCAAGUUCAAAUAAAACCUGAACGGACCCCCAUAAGCCCGACAGGUACACAGCAAGGCUAAGUCUACUGAGAAAGAAGAAAACCGGGCUCCCAGCCCAAAGUAACUAAGAUAAUCCAUCAGACCCCACCCAGCCAGCAGUACACUCCCAGCCCAGCUAGAAAGAGUGACCCUAGGGGGCACCCAACCAAACAGUCCACUCCCAGCCCAGCUAGAAAGAGGGACCCGUGAGUGAGGUAGAUAUCGCGAGUCGUCCUACCAUGCAGUCAGCUCCCAGCCCAGCUAGAAAGAGCGACCCGGGGACACCCAGCCAGCAGCACACUCCCAGCCCAGCUAGAAAGAGAGGCCCAGGGGCGAUCGCUAAUAUCACCGAGUCUACCCAGCCAGCGAUACGUUCCCAGCCCAGCUAGAAAGAACGACCCCGGGGGUGAUGGUAUCUUCAAUAGGAUUCAAUCCAACAACAACCACCGUGGAACGCUGUCCACUCUAAGAUAUCACAUAAAAGGCUCCAAACCUAUACUAUCUCAAUCCCAUGCCUCGAGUGAUGCACCAAACCUUCAAAAAUGCGUCGGAACCGCAGAAUAAGAGGGAGAACAUACAGAAGUGCAGCAAGUAGCGAUAACGCCUAAUCUAAGGCUCAAACUAUCAGACUCAAGUCUGCUAUUCCAGUCUACAAGGAGCUAAGUCAUCCGAACGACGUCGGCAGAAAGUCAAGGCUAUCCAGCCCACACGGGUCAUAAGUCUAAGGCAAAGCUAGCCUAACCUAGACUAAGGACAUCAUGUUUACGGUUAAGGAUGAACAAGGCAUGCAAUACAUAGCAUGCAAGCAUACAAUAACAUUUAACACAUAAGCAUGCAACUCUACUAAACCGGUUAACAUGAUACUAUACCCGAAAUGUGACCAAUCGAUCCUAACAUGAGGUAUCUAAUCAAAAUAAGGUAGUAAACUGGUACCCACUCCCAAUUCACUACAAUCGACAUGCUUUUACACAAUUAAGCUCAAUCUAAAAGAAAGGAAGCCGUAGCCUACCUUAAGGCCGAUCGCGCGCUCUCCAAAUCACUUUACCGGACUUUUCCCUUUCCGAACAGUCUAGAAACGCUGCCCCGCUAUCAAAAAUAGAAUCACAAUGUUACUACGGUCAUUUAGACACCAAAAUUACAACAAACGGAGACGGGUCAAUUUUGGAGUCAAAAUGAGAAUCGUGGGACCCGCACCAAACUGUCCGAAUUUAACUCCGUCAAGAGAUCCUAAACAACACCCCAAACUUGUGUUCCAAAAUGGAACAUAAUUCGAGGCUCAAAACACAAUAAAAACCAACAAGCAAGAAACCACACUUUAAUCAACUAAAAGAAACCCUACAGCAUCAGUCUAAACUCGAAAUAAACAAGAAUCGAAAAGUGCCCAGCACUCCUUGAACACUCUACGACGAAGUCACGACAAUUCUCAACAUGUGGGACUUCGAAUCACCCAGAACCGAGCUAAAAUGAGUGAGAUAUGACCAAAACAAAAAUACUAAAAACAAAAACUCGAAAAAGGUACUGCAGUCAGGUUUUAUCGCGAAAUUACCUUGAACUACGUGCACCCAACAACUUUCGAACACCCUACAGCGAAGCCACCAAAAAUACGAAGCUUCUGCAAUUUUUCCAACAACUAAAAACUCCAACGGGUACUCCGAUCUCGUUCGGAACUCCGUGCACGCAAACGACCAGGUGACCGAACUGUCAGUCCCAGCAAGUCAUAAAUGACUUGGGGUCGCUAUAAGAACGCUCUAAACGACACACAGAAGAAAAGACACAGAAAUGACCAAGAGGGUCAUUACAAACAGUCACCCCUAUACCCACACACGACAAAAAAAUAAAAAAAAGGAUUGAGUUGUAAUUUUUGACGGCUUCAACUUCACAGAUUCAAAAGUCUGCAACUAUUAAUAUUUUUGGGAAAUCAGUAGAUUGUUAGGCAUUGUUUUUCGUGGUUUAAUCUUCAUAAGAGAUAACAUUUAUUUCUUCUUGGUAUAAGUUAAUGUCACGAUUGUUCAAGAUUUGAUUCCAAUGUUAUAAAGUUAUUCAAAUUUUAUGUGUUUAGCUUUGCCAAUAUACUAUUGAAAUACAUGUAAAUAUUUGUAUUGUUGUAUUUGGAUUAAAUAUGAUAUAACAUAUAUCGCUUCUUGCUUUCGUUGAUAGUACAAUUUAAAAAUCAUUAUUUUUUUUAGUAAAAAAAAUGCAUUUUUUAUACGAUUUAAUCGUUAUCAUCCGAAGUGUUUUAGAUUCUUGGUAUUCUAUAGAUCAUAGAUCUAAUGCCAGUUUCAAAUGUUGUGUGAAUAUAAAUGUUAGGUUUUUUUUUAUUUUAAAGGGCUCUUUUAUGUCCAUUAAUUCAGAAUAUUAGCUUUUGCGGUGAUCACUUGCAAAUAAUCAUGCCGCUUCAUUGGUUAAGCGAAAAUAUUUGUUAAAUUAGAUAUAGCCAGAUAUGUCAUUAAUUAUUAGUUACACUAUGUUUGGAUCAUUGUUACCCAUUGUAUUGUAUUGUAUUAUAUUGUAUUGUAUUGUAUUGUAUCGUUACUAUACCUACAAUGUUUGUUUUGAUUGUUACUUAAAAUGUAUUGUAUUGUUAAAUUUCAUUGUUACGUAACAAUGAAAGCCCUAUUUUAUGGAACAACCAAUUUGGUGUGUUCCCAUUGUUUCUUAAUUUCCUUUUCCAAUUAUAUCUUUACAUAAUAUUUCAAAAUACUAUUUUACCCUUUACCUUAAUUAUUUAAAUCUAGUCAAACCUCCUACCCUAGAAUAAUUAAGGAUAUUUUAGUAAAUUUAUAAAUUACAAUACAGUAUGAUACAAUCAAACCAAACAAUUAAAAUGUUAUUAAACAAUAACAAACAAUACAAUCUAGCCAAACAUUGUAUCUAUCAUACAAUAAAAUACAAUACAAUAGAGUACAAUACAAUACAUUAUGAAACAAUGGGUAACAAUAAUCCAAACAGAGUGUUAAAGUGUGCCUUUAGUGUAUUUGUUUAUUUAGUUAUGCUUUAUUGUAAAUUAAUAAUUAUAUUUAAAAAAUUAUAAACUAAUGACAUUCUGUUUUGCUAGAAACGAUAAGUACUAUCAUGUUAAUAAGACAAUGUAAUUAAUUGAAUAUAAUAUUUCGUGGGCAGGUGAUAAGUUAAAUGUAGAAAAGUUUGGUCACUUUAACAUUUUACUAUUUAUUUUUAGACUGCUUUAAUAUAAUCAUAGGUAUAUAUUAGGCUCUAUUAUACAUUAGAUGAGUAACAAUAAUAAUUAAAUUUCAUCUCAAUUAAGAAUGUGGUUCCACAUCUUUUUGAGAUACUUAAGAAACUCAAGGAUGCGGUUACGCACCUUGGCCAAAUUAUUUUAAUAAUUAAUUUUGUUAAUUCAAACCAAGAGGUGUAAAUUGAGAUUAUUAGGUGUGAUGAACUCGAGAGGGGAAGACAAUUAUGUCUCCAAAUGUCAAGAUCGAGAAUGCAGUUAUGCAUCCGGUUUAAGACUAAUAAAAAUUCUAACAAUUAAAAAAUAAGCAAACCAUGACAUAUAUACACAAAUUAUCCAAAAACAUAUCAAGAUAAGUAUAACUCAAUAAAAGAGACCGUGCUAGAACCACGAGAGUACUCGAGGGAUGCCUAAUACCUUCCCCUCGAUCAACAGAAUUCCUUACCUGAAUUUCUGGUUCGCAGACCAAACAAAGAGUCAUUUCCUUUUGAUUAGGGAUUAAAUAAAAUGUGACUUGGAACAUCAUAAUUCAAUUCCAAGUGGCGACUCUGGAAAAAAUAAAAAAAAUAAAAAUUUAUCUCUUAAUUAAUACGGACACUUAAAAAAACCCUUUCCACCGUGCGAAAAAAGAGGUGUGACAUCUCUGACGACUCCGCUGGGGAUACUAACCAGAAUUCGAGCUUUGUUAUGUUGACUUUUAUUUUAUCUUAUUAUUUAUUUUUUUGGAUAUAUUGUGUGUGAUUGCCUGAUAUGAUACUUGUUGCUCUUUUAUCACUUUUUAUAUUGUUGAACUAUAAAUUGUCUUUCUUAGCGCAACCAUCUGAGUUGGCAUGGUUUAAUGGUGUCACACCCCAAAUCCGGAUGUGAUGGCACAUGUCCAUUUCCCACCGGACACGUCAGCCUAACCCAACCACAACGAUAGAGAAGUAGAAAUACGAGAAUAAAAGAUAAUAAAUAAGCGGAAGACUUUAAUUAAGACUCAACACUACCCAGAAUUUGGUUGUCACAUGUACAAACCUCUAAAUACAGAAUUCGAAUAAAAAUAUACAAGUCUCAGAGUAUAGUUCUCGAAUAGAACAAAACUGAAAGUAAAGAUAACUCAAGGGCACGUCUGGAAUGAACCGCUACCUCUCGAGUAUGUCCCGAAGCUCAAUCUGCUAAAGAAAGAGUAUGUCCCAAAGCUCAAUCUGCUAAAGAAAAUACUAAGCCGAAUCUGAGAGAGCUGUCAACCUACACAAUUGUGUAGAAGCAAGGGUGAGUACCGAAAACCACAGGUACUCGCAAGUAACUCUAAACUAAGCAAAACUAGCAGCUACAAACAACUCCUUUCAAUCCCAACCGAACCACCGAAACUUCAAUCUAGCAGCAAACCAACCAACCUAUACUCAUAUUCAACAGCCAGAACCAACAGUAUAUCCUCAUCAACCUCAGAUCAACAAAUAAGAGCAAGUAGAUCAAAUUCCACAUAAGAAGGGUAAACCGAUACAAUCCACACAUCACAGACAAAGAUAAGGCAAAUGCGAUGCAAAAUGCAAUAAUGAUGUCAUGUAGUCGUGAUGCAUGUCUGUCCUACGAUACACAUCUGUUGACGUAAUCAGUCCGCGCUGAAUACUCAAAUCAGAACCCAUGGGGGCCACACAUGGACCAUGUAUCACCGCCGGAACCAGAUCCCAUCGGCAUCCAAAUCGCUAGUCGGAGCUAGUCCAUCUCAUAUAUCUCUAGCCGGAACUAGUCUCAACUGUGUCUCAUAUCCAUCCAUCAUCAUAUCAGUGUCUCAGAACUCAUGCAACAGAUAGUUCACACAUGUGAUGAAUAAUGAAUAUGCACAUAUCAUCAAUCACAAUCAUAUCACGAUCACAUCAUAAUAUUGUUGACACCCAAUUUUGACCCUCCCCGAUAAUAAUUAACUUCUGAGCUUCUUAAUUUUCAAACGAUUUAAAAUGAUUAGAUUUAUAAAAUUCAAACAGUUUCAAGAUUAGUUUAAAUAAUUUCAGUUGAUUUUUAUAGUUUUGAAUAAUGAAUAUGUUUCAUAUAAUUAUAUACAUAAUUAGUAUAUUUUACAAAUGUUUGAAAAUCAUAUCAAAGAUUUUACUUUGUUAAAAUAAAUAUUUUAUUAAUUUAGUUUUUAGUUCGAAUUAUAGUUUUAAUCUUGGAUUAAUUAGUUCAUAUAUAAAUCGAUUAGUUUAUAAUUAAGUUAAUUAUUUUAUUUCGUUAAAAUUAAAGAGCUCAUAAAUUAAUUAUAUUAAUCCGUACCUCUUGAAUUCUAGCCGAACUUAUCCUACUCAACUAAAUUUGGAUACGUCUUUAAGCUCCACUUGGUUAUGACUUAGAUUUGUAUGGCUAACUUAAAUUCAAUUUUAUCUUGAUUAAUUUUUUUAAAACACCAAAAUUUUGGGCUUUUUUCCAUUCCCUUAAAAUGACCCAAAUGCUCAACCCAUUUCCCAUUCUGGUUCCAAUUCAUUUCCUCCAACAACCUAUUGUCUUCCAAUUCCCUUACAAUUCCCACCGACCCAACACAUUAUUUGAGCAGCCCAUCAAAUUAUGACCCAACCCGGCCCAUUCAUCUAUUCUCAAAAGAAUCCAUCAACCUUUAACAACAGUCCAAACACGUUCACUGAAGCAAACGGAAAAGCAGCGAGGAACAGAGACGUACGCUGCGAAUUCUGUUUCUUCUCCAAUGUCCUUAUCGACAUUUAAUAUCGUAACAACAAAAGGGAGCACGCGUUUCUCCCCUUUCCCUUUUCGGAAUGAGUUGAAAAUUGCAAAGAAAGGGGUGUCUGGCCGAAAAUGGUGAAAGUUUUUUAGAUUUUGAAAUUUGAAUGGACCCUUGAAUCUAAAAGGGGACCCGAAAUUCCCCCCAUAUCAACCCUAAUAGUCCCCUAUAUAUAUUUUCUUCUUACUCACAUGAGGGGGGAUUUUUUGGAGUUUGAAAAGUUUAUGUUGAAGAAAAUGUUGAGAGAAGCUUGGAAAAACAGAGGGGAAGAAAGUUUCAAAAAAUAAAUAAAUAUAAAUACAAGAAUACAUACAAGGAAAAAUCAGUAGUUAUACUCAAGCUAGAAUCGAUAAAAGAUUUUCUUUUGUGCUUGCCAUUGGAAAAACUUGUCGGAAUCUCGUCGUGGUAGUGAAGUCGCCGUCCCUCUGCUCGCUCUGUCUCGGUUCACUGCCCUCAUAAAGUUUUGUUCUUUUCUAUGUAUGAACCGGCUCCUCCCGAGUCUAUUUUGGACUCCACCCCUACAUAUCCGAGUUGAUUUCCCAUCGAGUCAACCCCCUUUCGAGCUAAAGAAUUGACGAACAGGUCCCGAGAAUUGAAAGAAGCAACAGAUCGAGAAAAUCGAAAAUUUGGGCCAAGGGCCCAUUCUUAAUUCAAAAAAUUGUAUUUUUGGGCCUAAGCCCACUUAUUAGCUAUUUUAUGUUAGCUUAGGAUAGGUACAGGUGAUUCAAAUGAGCCAAAAGCUCAAAACGAAAAAGGGCCCAAAUACUGGCCCAGGCGGACAGAAACCAGAUUUGGGCCCAACUCUCUAUCCCUCUCUACUUUACCGUGUUCAUUUUACUUGUUAGUAUUUGCCGCUAAUUUUAAGGUUGAACAAUUCGAAUCCCCGAAAGAUACCCAUUUCGAAUUAAUUACUUAACUAAAUUACUCAUCUUUCACUUGACUUAAAAAAUAAAUAAAUGAUAAAUAAAUAAAUUUAUGAAAUGCUUCACUUAGAUAAUAUUUCAUUAUUUUUCUAUUAAAAUGGUUUCAACUAUAAAGUAGUUCACUUUUGCAAUUCAAGAUAAGUUAAAAUAUUUUAGCCAAAUAAUUAAUUGUCGGAUAACCGCGUAUUAGCGGACAUUCUGGGGUGCUUUUAAAAAACCUUCCUAGAAUGUUAAUAAGAACCUCGAACCCUUUUUAAGUUUUCAAUAGAUUUACUGUUUUAGUCUUUUGAAAACAACAGUUUUCUUGAUUUUUCUUAAAAAUUAAGUGGCGACUCUUAAACCAGUCCAAAUAAUAUUUUAAAUAAAACAAAUAUUACACAUCAUCUGUCUCAAUCACAACCAUAUCACGACCACAUCAUAGUAUUACACAUCAUCUGUCUCAACAUCAAUGUAUGUAUCAAUCAUAGCCUACUCAUGCUCUUCUAUCCCCUCAAUAUCAGUUAUCACAUGACUUAUUCAACAAAUUCAAGUCACAUAUAACACAUUUAGCUCGUUUUAUUUCCCCAUCUUUCAUUUACAACAAUUUCAAUCAACAAAUAAAACUCAUCCUCAAUCCCCAUUACUCCCCAACACAAUUAGGAAAGUAGUCAUGCGUAGUCUAAGAGUUUUACAAAGUUUGGAAGCCACUUGCCUUAAAACGAACUCCAAAAGUUACUUGACUUGAGCCCUUUCCUUUCCGAGUAUAAUCCGGAUCACGAUAAUCUAUUCAAACAAUUAUUCACAAUCACAAUUCGAGUCCAAUAUAAAUGGAAUCCCACAAUCAAUACGAAUCUAACAACACCAAUAUCGUGAAAUUUGGAGAACAAGGGUAAAAUGGUCAAAAAUCUCGUUCCGGAAAAUAUUCUCGAAAUCUGGAAAUUUUUAGUGAAAAAUGUUCCCCAAGAAAUUUAGAAUCCAAUAGUGAAAACCGUUUCGAAAAAGGAGUUGAAAUUAAUUCACAAACUCAAUUUGAAAGAAAAUCCACGUUCUUGAAGAAGCCUAAAAUAUUCAGAUCCGAAACUCCAACCCGAAAAUGAAAUAUCUCUUAAAAAACAUCUUACUCAUGCUUAGAUAAGUUCAAAUAUGAAAUUUCAUCAAAAAACGGAGUUAAGAUCGACCUUGAAAUUCUCAAUUUAUCAAACUUUAACUUUACCGGAAAGUCCAAAUUGUACGCGUUUAAUAUGAUGAAAAUAAUCGAUGAAUCAAUAAUUUUUAUGUUAAAAUCAGUUUUACCCAUAACAUAAGGAUCGUAAAUAUAUCUUUUUUAUCAAAAAGGGAGUCCAAAUCGAUAAAACCCCAAUUUUUCCCAAGAGAUUUACGGAUAGGAAAAAAAACCAGAUAAAGAAAUUAUGAGAAAAUGUCGAAUUGAAGAUUGAAUACUAACUCUCAUAUUAAUUCAAGAAGAAACCCGUAAGAAUCAUUCCAUUCCGAUCUCUAGAACUCCAGAUAUGCUCAAAAUACCAAAUGAACACAGUCUGAGAUUUUUAUAACAGUACAUGGCUGUUAUGCACCAGAAAAACAGCAGUUAAUCUUUCACUAAAAAGGCCGUAAUUUCCUCAUACGAUAGUGAAAUGACCCGAUUCUUUUUUAUAAAUGUCUUAAAUAAUGAUACGGACCUGCUCGUUCAAUCGGAGCUCAAUUUCAUGCUCGUUUGCCCAGUCAAAUAUCAUUUCUACUCGGUAAACAAUUAUUUCUUAUUUGCGAUAAAAAUCCAAUCUCGGGUUAGCGAAAAUGCACCAAAAUUUGCAGAUAAGUCCUAUAAUUCAUGAUCAAAAUUUCAGAACCUUCAGAAAUUUUUUUCGACCUUUAAAACUAAUAAUGAACCCUUUAGUUGCCACAAUUUGCUGAAAUAGUGUCAAAGCAUCCAAGAAGCUUAAAAGCUCACCCAAAACUCAUUUGGCACUUCCCGAACACAAACCAAAUAUGCUACUAGCUUGAAAAUGACAUUUCGGACUCAAUGAAAUCGUCGGAAUUUGAAUUCGAGGUCUCCUUGACCCGGUAUCCGAUAAGGCGUCAAGAAACUAACUUUAGGCUCAAAAACUCGAAACGCACUCGGGGCCUCUAAAAAUUCAACCAAGACUCAUUCUAGACUUAGAAUCACCCCCUGAAUCCAACGGUGCCCUCGGAAUUCCAUUUCGAGCACCGGAACCUCGUUUGUUGACCAAAGUCAACUCUUGAUCAAAAUUUCACAAUUUUAGCAACUUAGGACCUCAAAUCUUCGUUUUAACUCCAAAUUCGACUCAGUAAAUUCUCAUAGACCCAUUUCAACAUUCUAAAAUUGCUGGAAUCGACGGAAAUCCGAUUCGAGUCUCGAAACUCCAAAUGACUCGAAAUAGCACUUUUAACCAAACUUUAACUCUUAAAAACUCAACUUUCCAAAAACUCAACUUUUCAUCAAUUUUCCUUCAAACCAACUUCAAAAAUACAACAAUUAGGACUCGGGGCAACUAUCGGGAGGGGUAAAACGGUCAUUUUAUGAAAAUUUCCAAAAAUGACUUUUAGGGUCAUUACAAGGCUAACCUUAGACAAAAUCUUGGCUAAGUGGGGUGUUGGUCAUAUGAGGAUGAGUGGGGUGUAAUGUCUAGGCGGCAUGUGUUGAAGCAGUAAUUUUUCCAUUUUCGUUACUCAGGUAUGACAAAAUUCAUAAAGGUAGCACAAGUGAAGAUGAAACUGGAUCACGAUUAGGAAAUGCAGCUACCAAGUAUGUUGUAAUUGAAGAAAUGGAAGAUCAAGACCAUGGUCCUUGAGGUUUUACAUAUGACAUUCUAACAAUGUUGCGCUCUGAUGGCGUUUUGUAUUUGCAACGGAAGGAAAUGGACAAAAAAAUGCGUAGAUUUUCUAGCAAAUGAAGUUCAAGUCGUAUACAUGAAGAAGAUUUGUUAAUCAAGGAAGAUGAGGAAGCUGAGUUUUUUCACCUAGUAAACUUUAAGACAUGUGGCUUAUAGAAGGGAAAUUUAUUACUCCCUAUGUGCUAAAAAAGUAAUGAUAUACAUUUUUAUAGUUAGUAAAAAUUUAACUUUUAAACUUCUCAUUUUACCCCUAAAGUUAGGGGUGAAAGUUUGGUAUUCAGUUCAAGAUUUCCAAAUUUUGAGUUCGAUAGUUAAAAAUAGAUUCAAUUCAGUAUGGUAUUCAGUAAUACCGUAUUAAAGUUGUAGGAUUUGGAAAAGAAUGAUCACAAAUCUUUCUACUUUUUGUUUGUUAAAAUCAUGUCCUUUUCUGACUAAGUUAAAGAAAAAGAGAAAUUGGUCUCUUCUUUUGUUUAGAUGAUAAUGUUAGUGGAAUGUGAGACAAAAUUAUAUGAAUUAAAGUUUGAUUUCGAUAUGUAAUCCGAUUGAUUUGAUGUUAUUUUUAUUCUUUAUUUGAUUUCAAGUAUGCAUAAAAACAAUGUAACGUAUAUUUUACAUCCACACAAAUAUCUAUACAUAUUUUUAGUUUAAGAUUACAAAAAUUUUAAAAGUCGUCUAUACUUUCAUAAAAUUAAUAUCCCAUGAAACUAAGAUACACAAACUAAAACUAGCGGAGUAACUUAGUACUAAUUCGAUUUGCUUCAUACAUUGUUUUAGUACUAGACAUAUAAGCUCGUAGCUAACACAGACUCAAUAACAUACAUAGAAUUUGGAAAGACAAAUAAUUAUUAACACGAUUAUUAUUAAUUUACGAGACUUUUACGAUAAUUUUUUUCUAUUCAAAUUUAUGUGAUACAAAUUAAUUUUCGUGUGUAUUAUCCCAUGAAUUUGGCGCCUCGGAGCACCCAAAAACAUUUUUUGAAAAAUCUUUAUGAGGACCUCUGUAAUGAGUUGGGAACCAUCGCUUAUACUCACACUAUUUUUCUUAACGCUUAUUUCCGGAUUUACUGACCCUUUUUUAGGAAUUACGUAAAAAAAUUCAAUUUUUGGGUGUAUUAGCCUAUGGAUCUGGCGCAUUAGAGCACCCAAUUUUUUUUUCUGAAAAAAACUUUAUGAGUAAUUAUGUAAUGAGUUAGAGAUCACCACGUAUACUCACACCAAUUUUAACGACUAUUUCCGCAUUUAUAGAUUUUUUUUUUAGAAAUUACACAAAAUUCUUGAUUGUUCGUGUGUAUUAGCCCAUGAAUCUGGCGACUCAGAGCACCCAAAAUUAUUUUCUAAAAAACUUUAUGAGAACCUCUGUAGUGAGUAAGGGAACCACCAUAUAUACCCACACCAUUUUUAAUAGCUAUUUUCGCAUUUAUAGGCCAUUUUUUUAUGAAUUAUGCAAAUUCCUUGAUUUUUCGUGUGUAUUAGCCCUUGAAUCUAGCGCCUCAGAGCACCCGAAUUUUUUUUAUGAAAAAACAUUAUGAGGACUUCCGUAAUGAGUUAGGGAACCACCAUAUAUACUCAUGCAAUUUUUUAAUGCCUAUUUCUGCACUUACAGACCUUUUUUUUAGGAAUUAUGCAAAUUACUCAAUUUUUAAUGUGUAUUAACCCAUGAAUAUAUUGGUGAUAUGGCUUUCAGACGAAUUUUUUGUAAAACUCUUUAUGGAACCCUUCAAAGGGAGUUGGGGGAGCAGUACGUACAAUUUUACCAUUUUUAGAGUGAUUUAUGGGCAUAAGGAGUCAAUUUACAUUAGUUAGGCGAUUUUCUCAAUUUUUCAUGUGUAUUAUGUAACAUCCGGCAAUUUGAAAUAGCUAAGAAGAGGCUUAGAAUUUGAAAAUUUUCAAUUUUUGGAAAGGAUUUGAAAAUCUAGAAAAUUUGGCUAAGUAUGGAAAUCAGUGAUUUUUGGCCAACUUUGAGCAGUCAUAACUUCUAACUCAGGAUGAGUUAGGAGUAGUUCCAGUUAUGGUUGUGAAUCUUGUGGAAUGAUCUUUCCAACGCCACCGAGUUUGCUCAAUUCCGAGUUCGUAUGAGCGAGUUAUGGCCUUUGAAAGUUGGGCAGUUGACAAGGAAAUCCGUCCGGGAAUCAUUAAGGGCAUUUUGGUCUUUUCCCUAGCUAUUUCUUUUGAGGAUGUAUUGUUGUAUAGGGCUGAUCUUUGGAUCAUUUUGUUCCAUUUUUAAGAGAGUGAAGGCUAGGGCUUGAGAGUGAAGAAGAGAAGAAGANNNNNNNNNNNNNNNNNNNNNNNNNNNNNNNNNNNNNNNNNNNNNNNNNNNNNNNNNNNNNNNNNNNNNNNNNNNNNNNNNNNNNNNNNNNNNNNNNNNNNNNNNNNNNNNNNNNNNNNNNNNNNNNNNNNNNNNNNNNNNNNNNNNNNNNNNNNNNNNNNNNNNNNNNNNNNNNNNNNNNNNNNNNNNNNNNNNNNNNNNNNNNNNNNNNNNNNNNNNNNNNNNNNNNNNNNNNNNNNNNNNNNNNNNNNNNNNNNNNNNNNNNNNNNNNNNNNNNNNNNNNNNNNNNNNNNNNNNNNNNNNNNNNNNNNNNNNNNNNNNNNNNNNNNNNNNNNNNNNNNNNNNNNNNNNNNNNNNNNNNNNNNNNNNNNNNNNNNNNNNNNNNNNNNNNNNNUUGCCUACUGAUCUACGGUCAUGACUUACGGACCGUGAAUGGACCUACGGUCUGUAGAUCACUUCCGUCAAGGCCAUGUUUCUGCAUUUCUUAUUGUACCUAUGUUUCCAAGUUGUCUCCAACACUUCAAGUUGCAUCUAAAUGUUUAGAACUCAUUCAUAACAGGUGAUUAUAUCCCUUGAAUCCAUAAUUCAAUUCAAGGCGAGUUAGAAUCGAGUUAAAGAGAAGUUAGAGUCAAGUCAAGCAAGGUUAAGAAGUUAGUUCAAGCAAGUUUUCAAAGUUGUUCGAGAGUCUUUAAUGAACGUUUUUACUUCAUUCUAAGGCUCAAGUUGCAGGUCAAGUAAAGAGUUUAAAGUUGAGUUCAUUUCUCAAAGUUAUUAGGGAACUAUGUAUUCCCAAAGCAGUUUUUAAGGAAAUGUUUUUACAUUUAAACAAGGUUGGAAACUGAGAUUUCCAAAGGGGCCUUCGGGCCAGUUUUUCAGAAAAGAGUUAUCAUUUCCUAAAUGAAGCAAGGUUGGAAACUGAGAUUUCCAAAAGAGCCUUCAGGCAAGUUUUUGAGUAAUUAUCUCAUAUCAGCAGGAAGAAAUAUGUUUUAAAAACAUAAGAGCUAGUACAUUUUUGGGAGUAGUAUCGAGCACCGAAAAUCGUUUCAAAAGAUUUUAGUUUUACUUAAAUAUUUUAUUAAGUUAAUUAGUAGUUUAUAUUUUGAAUCAUUAGUUUAUUAAGUUAAUUAUUUUAUUUCAUUAAGAUUAAGAAGCUCCUUAAUUAAUUUAUGAAAAUUCAUCUUGUUUAAGUAUUGAUCAAAUCCACCGACUAAAUGCUAAUCGAAAUUCAAUUGAUUAAUAUGGCAAUUUUAGUCAAUUUCUUCAACCCUUUGCAAGACCCAAUUAUCUUAAACCCUUUUAGCCAAACUUUUGACCCAAUAUUAGAAGCCCACCCUUUUCAUUCUUCUGACCCAAGCCCAAAACCCACUUCUUCUUUUCUCAAAAGAACCCAACGUGAACAACAGCAUACCAAAUUGACCCGACCCCCAACACAGCUGCUCGUUCUUCUUCAACAAUACACGUCAAAUUCCAACGAUUUAAUUCACGGAGUCAAGCGGAGGCAGACGGAAAAGCAGUAAAGCAGGCAGUGCUCUGCAUUUUUCUUGUCUUCUUCCUCAAUGUCCCUUUCCAAUUUGUACCUGCAGCAGCAAAAGCACCUGCGAUUUUGUCCUUCCAGCCGCGUCUCAGUCCUUGGGGAUGUGGGAUCGAUCCACGUCGCGCCUAAGGAUGAGUUGAAUUGAUCAAGUCCGCCCGUCUACCCUUUCCCCUUUCGGAAUGGGUCAAAUUUUGGAGAAAAAGGUUGUCUCCCUGAAAGGGGUGAACGAUUUUGAAUUCAAAUUGGAGUUGGGCUUUGUCUAUUCGAAUUUUUUUGAUCUGUUUCCCUCAUUUUUCUGAACCCUAAUUUCCCCCACUAUAUAAACCCCAUUUUUAUUCACUAUCGGGUUUCUCUUUUUUUAGAGGAAUUUUUGGGGCAAAAACACGAAGAGUAAGUUAAGAAAAUAGCUAAAAUACAUACAUGUAUAUACAGAAACACAGUCAAGGCCAAGAGGAUUGAGUUUCGAUAGGAGUAUCGCGUUACUACUUCGUUUUGCAUCGGUUUUCUCAAGCUUCACUCGAGUCUGAGGUUCUGCCCGGAAUUCUCGUCCGUCGUUCGUGUUCGAGUCUCGUGGUGAAGAUCGUUUCCUUGCUCGUUUGUAUCCCAGUUGCUGCUCAUCAAAAGGUAUACAACUCUCAAUUCUCGCAUUUGUUUAGAUUCCAAUAGAUGUUUGAGAUCUGAGUUGUAUUAUGUAUUGGUGUGAUUCGAUUGUUUGUGUAUAAAUGAUAAAAGGUUAAUUCUUUGUUGGUGGUGGUUCUCGUUUUGUUUUAUUCUUGACUCUCAUAGCUUUUCAAAACACUCCUUUCACAGUUUAUUCUCUCAAAAUGUAAGACAUUUAAGUAUUGGGGUUUUAAGAAUAUUAAGAGCGACUGGAAAUUUUGAAUCUCUUGAAAUAGCGAGAAUUUGACUUCGGUACUUCGUGUGGAGUUUGGUAUCUCCUUCACGUCUUGUUUGAUUCCGAGUGGUAUGAAAUGAGCACUUUGUUGAUCUCUAUGGCUUCAUCCUUACGUUAUCCUUUAUUUCGAUUUCCGUACCUUUGUUCGAAAGUCUGUUUGGUUUAAAUUUCUAACCGAUCAUCAUGUUAUUGAUUUCACUGUCUUGGUUAAAUGUAUAAAUCCGAUUUAUAGCUUUUUUUUUAGCCUAGUUUUCGUAUUGUUUUGAAUCAUAUGAUUGUCUUGUUGUAAUUAGUAUGCCUAAUACGUCUUCAAGCAUGAGAUGCUCUCUUUCUAGUUUGUCAUUGUUAGUGUAGUUGCGUUUUCAUUCUGAUGGCUUGGCUUCCUCUGUUUAUUGGAUCCCUUUGUUGCCUUACUGCUUUAGCGAUAUGUUAGACCCGCUUCCGUGCUUUCGUUUUACUUAUUUUUUUUGAUGCAAAAUUUGCAGUUGAGUUUUAAAAUGUAAGAUUUCCGCUAAUGAUUCAGAUUUUCAUGACUAUCUGUGUUGCAUUGAAUCCAAUGAUACCAUUCCCAACUAAAUAACAAAAAUGAAUAUGUUUGUAUGUUUGGUAUUUAUUAUUAUUAUUAUUAUUAUUAUUAUUAUUAUUAUUAUUAUUAUUAUUAUUAUUAUUAUUAUUAUUAUUAUUAUUAUUAUUAUUAUUAUUAUUAUUAUUAUUAUUAUUAUUAUUAUUAUUAUUAUUAUUAUUAUUAUUAUUAUUAUUAUUAUUAUUAUUAUUAUUAUUAUUAUUAUUAUUAUUAUUAUUAUUAUUAUUAUUAUUAUUAUUAUUAUUAUUAUUAUUAUUAUUAUUAUUAUUAUUAUUUUUACUUAAAAUUGGUCUAAGUGUUUUUUUUUAUUCAAAAUCGGGGGGGCAUUUGUUAAUUAUGGUUUAUCCAUUUUUGCUUAAAAAUAAUAAUAAAAAAAUAUGUAUGGAAUUCUCAAGCGGUAUAUUAAAAGGCUUAAGUCGGUAGCAUCUCAUCUCCUCAUUUGAUCUUACGUCAUUAUUAUUAUUCUUGGUUUCAUGUGAUAUGUCUUUAGAUAAUAUUUAGGAGUUACUUGUUAUGCAUUAAUUUUUAUUUUUAUUUUUAUCUCAUUUGUUUUUACUUGUCAUAUCAUUCUAUCUAGUUUAUACAUAUAAAUGAUAAUUAUAGGAAUCCUUUGUUGACUCCCUAUUAUUUGAUUUUCCUUAUAGAAUAGCUACAAUAUUGGUAAUUAAGUUAUGUUAGUUUGAUCACUGUAGUGUUAAACUUGCUAAGUCAUUUAUCUCUUAGUCUUAUUGGUUUAAAAUAUAGUAUUAAUCUCAUUUGAUAACAGUUUCUAUGUGUACUCCAGAGUUCUGCCUUAAGUGCUUAACAUUUGUUCGCUGCCUGCAUUCUCAACAAUUCAUUUAAUCAAUGUCAAUUUAAAGGUAUAUGCAUGAAAAUGGAGAGUGGACCGAGGUCAAACUAGAAUUUGUUCACGAUUCGCAUAUCACAUUUCUUUGUUUAUAUCCUAGUAGUAUUUGUGAAUGUGUAUCAGAAUAACUUUAUCCAUUUUUCUCAUUGUAGCUAGCGACGAGUAGUGAUUAUUAGAUUAGUCCUUAAUAUCUUAUUAUGAUUUUGUCGUAUUGAGUUGUUAGUCGCCUUAAUGUUGUUCAUUUUUUAGAAAAUGUGUUAGAAUUUUCUCGUCCCAUGCUAAUAUGAUUUUAUUUGUCUUUGUAUGUGAAAUCCGCCCGAGUUCGCCAUGAACUCUUAUCUUCCCUAUUGCAUUUCGGGAGGGCCGCGAAGGCUCAAGUCUUUUUUUUUUACAUAUCCGAGUCAGCCAGAUCUUAAAAUCGACGAACAGGUCUCGAAAUUGAAAGAAAAGCGGACCAAAUCGGGAGUUGAAAAAGAUUGGGCCAAAGCCUACCUUUAUUUAUUCGGAAUUGUAUUUUGUUAUUAUUGGGCCUAAGUCCUUGCCAUUUUACUUACUAUUACUUGUUAGUUCCUAGGACAGGUGGAGAAAUUGGGCUUAAGGUCCAAAAGAAAGAUAUUUAUUUCAUGUCAGACUAGGACAGGUGCAGGUGACUCAAAUGGGCCGAAAAGCCCAAAACGAAAGUGGGCCCCAAAAUAUUGGCCCAGGCGGACAGAAAAACCAAUUUGGGCCCGAAUCUCCCUCUCUCCUUAUUAUAUAUUUCGUGUUAAUUUUAUUGUUAGUACAUGCUUAUUUGCUAAUUAAUUUUAAGGUUCUUAACUCAUAAUUCCCCAAAGGACACCCAUUUUAAGUUAGCUAACUUAUAGUACUUUAUCUUAAAAUAACUAAGUAUACUUGUCUUUUUUCUAAAUUAAUUUCUAAAAAAAUUAGAAGCUUUUCUCUACUUGGACAUUUUAGAUAAUAUAUUCCCUUUUCCUCUUUAAAUGAUUUUAAGUUAUAAAAUUCGUUCAUUCGGUAACUAGUCAAGCAUGCCCAUUGUUAGCCAAAUAUUUUAAUUGUUGGAUAACCGCAAGUUAGCGGACAUUUUGGGUGUUUUCAAACCCUUCCCGAAAUGUUAAUAAGAACCCCGAACCCCCUUAAUAGUUUUCAAUAGAUUUACUGUUUUGAUCUAUUUGAAAAUGAAUAGUUUUCUUGAUUUUUCUUAAAAAUUAAGUGGCGACUCUUAAACCAGUCAAAAUACAUUUUUAAAUAAAACAGUUAGAGAUUCAUAUGCCAGUAGAAAAUGUGGAGAACUUUUCUAUUUUAUUUCGUAAAAUGUUGGCCUAAUAUGAAUUGAGAUGGGGAACAUGACCAAUGAGGACUGAGACGUAGUAGUUAUUGUUGUUGUUGUAUAUUGAAGCUUCAGAAAUAUUUUUUUCAUGUUCAUACAUUUACUUCAGGCCGAUGCUUUCUAGGAGGUUUGUAGGACUAUAUGAUAGAGUUUCUUAUGCCAGUAGGAAAUAUAGAGAACUUCUAGUACUUUUCAUGAUUAUGUUUAUUUCGUAAAGUGUUGUCCUGAGGUGAAUUUAAGUGGGGAACUUGGUCACAUAUAGACGAUCCCAGCUUAUUUUAGACUGAGACGUAAUUGUUGUUGUUUAUUGAAGCUUAAAGGAUGUGUUUGCUCUUCUCAUGUGUUGACAUGGGGAAUAGGUACAAUAAAAGUCUUCUUGGGGAUAAACUAGGGAAGUUCCCUGUGCCUUUACUGAUAAACACUGUGCACUUUGCGAUGCAAGCUGUUUUGUCCAAGGCCAUUACCGGGUUUUGGCAUCAACGAUUUCAACCUACAGUGAUGAUGUCUUGGAGAGACUAUUCUUUGAAAGGUAACGUUAAGACUAAUAAUUCCCUUUUUUCUUUGGUUUCGAUUGAGUAGAAAACUAAAAGUAUUUGAAAGGCAUAUGAUAUUAUAGAGCAGGAAAUAUGUGUAUAAUGUGUUUAUGCACUUGUCCAGUGGAUUUGUUUACGAAACAUAGGAAGAUGAGAGUAGGAUUAUUAACGAGCUUGAAUGUAUGUGCAUCUUAUGAGUUGACAGCUUCAAUUAGCUAUAGUUUGUGACUUAGUUAAGCCCACAUGUUACACUUAUUGGCUUAUUACUGAUAUAUCGACAAUGGUUUCAAAUGAACUUUUAUGUACACAAAUAGAGGCAGUUCCUGUUACGUACGAGAAUCUCAAUUUUUAUCCAAGUUAGUUCUUCAUGAGUUCAAGACAUAUAAUCUCUUAUGUCUUUCAUUUCUAACCUUUAUGUAGGAAUCUUUUUCCACGACUAAUACUAUAGACGGCCUUUGCCUUUCACAGUUGUACCGACAGCUCUUACAACAGCAAUGGAUGUGAACCUCAGCAAUGCAUCCCUUGUUUUCAUCUCAGUCACAUUUGCCACUAUGGUGUGCAUCAUACAGUUUGUGUCAAUACUGAUAGACUGCAAAUUUUUCUUCAAAAAUUGAGCUCUGAGAAAGCAUGUUUGUUAAACUCACGCCCUUAAUAUUCGUCGAGGGCUCUAAUAUUUGCAUUUAUGUACCUUGAAAUUUAGCAGUCACAACUCUCUGCCACUAAAGUAAGUGUGAUUGUCGAAGCCUUCAAGGGCCACUCAAAUAAUCGUCUAAUAUCAAUAAGAAUAACAGAUUUCUUACUUUGUUUUCUCCUUCCUUAUUCUGAUACGAACUCUCUGCCCAUCUUUCUCCUAUUCUUCGCAUUUGCUUUCAGGUACUACUUUUAACCACUGAUCUCUUAUGUUUAAUUGUGAUUUUUUAUGGGGGGUAGCGGGCCAGAAGCAUCGAAUUUCUACUUGAUCCUCUGUUAUAGAUGUACAUCCAACAAUAUUAUUCAUAAAUGCAACUUUUUUUUCCAUAUUGAGGACUUAAUAGAAUGUGAUUGUUAAUUCGUUAUGGACUAAAAACCUGAAAGCGUCUAUGAAAUAACUAUCUUUGAUGAAUACGAUACAUUUGACGGGGCUCAUAUCUAAGCUGAAUACAUGGCCUCAAUUAUUUGUGUAAGGUUGGAGUCUCCAAAUGUAAAGCUGCUGGGGAUCAUCUUGGUCAUUUCUUGUAUUAUUUAUUCUCAUAUAUGAAGAAGUAUUCAUAAUUUUCAUCUUCAUCUGUCAUUCAUAAAUCAUAUCUGUAACCUUCACUUGUACACCAGAUAAAACGUUUACUUUAUCGUACAAUAUUUUCUCGUUUCACAACUAUCAUUGACAAUUUGGAUAAACUUAGGUAAUCUUCUUAAUGAGUGUUUUCGUAAGCUUUAUCGCCUUGUUGAUAACUGUGUCAUUUGUUAAUUUACAUCCGUUUGGUAGAUAAGUCUGACUCCAUUUUCUGAUAAUGCAGUUGCAAAGGAGACAGAAUUUGAGUUUUGGGAUUUGUCUUUGUUAUGCUUGCUGCAGUUAUGUCUGGAUUUCGCUGGACUAUGACUCAGAUUCUUCUGCAGGUUGGAUUUUGUGACAUUCGUUGCAUUGUUAUAAUUUAUUUCUCGUUCCGUUGUUUUGUCAAUAGUAUGUUUGCUUACUUUGUGUAUUUUUCUGUUUGUUUUCCCAUAUCCAACUGGUUGUGCUGAACAUAAAACUGGCAUAAAGAAAGAAGCCUAUGGUAAUGACUAUGAACAACUCUUAGCAAAUUUUAAAUAUUCUGGAAAUGUUAUUAUCACCAUCAUUAUUAUUAGCAGUCGUAGCAGCAGCGACUGCACCACUACUUAGACUACAUCAAAUCUGAUCUUGUUUUAAAAGGGCAGUUCGAUGCACGAAGCAUCUCACAUUCACGCAGGGUCCAAGGUAGGGCCACACCUCAAGAGAGCAUGAUGUAGGCAGCCUACCCUGAUACAAAUCAGCGGCUAAUUCCAUAGCUCAAACCCUGCUUUGUCUUAGUCCUAGUUUUGACCAAAUUAAUAUGUUGAUUUGUUAUUUGUUUUAUAGUUUGUGAAUAAAUUGUGUAAUGAAAUGCAUGCUUUGGUUAUUGCAGGUUUAAAAAAUCCACUCACACUAAUGAGCUAUGUUACUCCGGUAAUGACUCUUUCAACUGCUGUGUUGUCCCUUAUUUUUGAUCCGUGGCACGAAUUCAGACACACCAAUUACUUUGAUACGUCAUGGCAUAUAGCUAGAAGUUGUUUGUUGAUGCUUUUUGGCGGAACUUUGGCUUUCUUUAUGGUAUGUAUGUGUCCAAGCACUGGUAUCAGUUCAAUUUGUGGAUUUUCCAUCUCAUAGUGAAAAUGAAGCCUUCUAAUAGGCUUAGUUCGUUUAGAAAUGAUCUGAGUGUUCAACUGACACAGUGGAGACGAGUUGAUGUGUCUGAAUGUGCGUUCUCAAAGUUGGAGUGUUUAAACUGUUCCUAGCAGUUUAGUCGUCCUAAAUCAAAACGACUGUAUGUUUACUUAAGCUAUAGUAGUUCAAUCAAAUUGUUGAUAUCGAGCCCGUUUUAGUCAAAAAUGUGACUUUGGCAUGGUUUAAUGGCAUGUGUUGAAGUCGUAAUUUUUCCAUUUUCGCUACUCAUGUAUGAAAAAAUUCAUAAAGGUAGCACAAGUGAAGAUGAAACUGGAUCACCAUUAGGAAAUGCAGCUACCAAGUAUGUUAUACUUGAAGAAAUGGAAGAUCAAGACCAUGGUCCUUGAAGUAUUACAUAUGACAUUUCAACUACGCUGCACUCUGAUGGCGUUUUGUAUUUGCAACGGAAGGAAGGGGACGAAAAAAUGCAUAGAUUUUCUACCAAAUGAAGGUCAAUCGUAUACAUGAGGAAUAUUUCUUAAUCAAGGAAGUUGAGUUUUUUCACCUAGUAGACUAUAAGACAUGUUGCUUAUAGAAGAUAUUACGACUUGAAAAAGAAACUUACAAAAAUGUUACUAGUUAAGAACUAACUACUUAAAUACACUACAUUACAAUAUUCGGAAUUUUACCAUUUAGUGGCGACUUCCAAAAGUCGUUAAAUAACAUUUGAUUAUGGAUUCACAUGUAUCUAGGAUAUACAUUGAUUCUCUCGCUCGCAUCUCUCAUCUCUUGCUCCCCUUUCUUCCUUUCUCGCUCCCCUCUCUUCCUAUGUUAGGAAACCUUUAUGGAAUCCUCCGUUGGGAGUUGGGGGAGCAUUACGUACAAUCUCACAUUUUUUAGAGUGAACUUUGGGCAUUUAAAGACCAAGAUUUUCUUAAUUUUGUGUGUGUGUUAUUCCAUGAAUAAUUUGGUGAUAUGACUUCCGAACGAUUUUUUUUGUGAACCUUUAUGGUACCUUCCGUAGGGAGUUGGUGGAGCAUUACGUACAGUCUCACUAUUUUUAGAGUGAUAUGACGGAGAUAUAACUCCUAAUAGCCCAAAAUAUGUCUAAAAAAUGACAAGACUUCACAUAUUUCUCUCACAACUCUCUACAGAGGGUUCCGUAAUGACUUUGCACAAAAAUCAACCGUCAGUCACAUCACCAAAAUAUUCAUGAAUUAACUGUGUCCACACAAACCCAAUAGCAUAGAUGGAAUUUGGAAAGAUAAUUAUGUUGGGAUAUUUUCUUCCUGUGGUGCUCGCUGCAGCGUACAAUGAUGAGCUGUAUAUGUCUCCAUCUUUUUUCAUUCAUUUUUUUAAAUUUAAAAUGAUCGUUCCAUAGGUGUGAUAAGAUAUGAUAUAUUUUAAUUACACUUAAAGAUUAUGUCAUAAAUUGAGAUAUUUUAUGAGAUAAUUAAUUAUAUUACUAUGUAAAUGAAUAAUUUAUAUUUCAUCAUUAUAAAAUGGAAAAAUUCUUUUGGCCAGAAUGGUAAAAUAACAUAUUUCACACUAUGUUAUUUUAUCUUUUUGAACAUUUUUACCAUUUUAACUUUAAUACCAUUUAAUUAAAAAAAAUUUAAAAAAAUCAGUUUUUUUAAAAAUAAAAAGGAUAUUAUAGACUUUUGAAAAUUUCUAACCAAAUUCUGGCCAAAUUUUCCGGAUUUUGGUUGUAUGAUACUGAAUGUGAGACUGGAAUUGCUGUGCAAAUGGAUUUGGAGGAAAAGUACAUGGAUAAACUUGCAUGUGACCAAGAUAUCAUAGAUUUUGCUAAAUUUUAGGGUUUAAUUUUCAUGUUCUUUCAUUUAAUUUGUACUCCCUUCAUUUUAAUUUUCAUGUUCUUUCAUUUUCUAUGAACACGCUUUGACUAUAAUUAAGUAGCAUUUUAAGUUGUAGCAAGGAUUGUACUAAAAUAAAUAAUGUAAGAUUUUUGUUAGCAUUUUUGUUUACUUGUAGUAGCGAAUGUUCGCUACAAAAAAUCACUAUUUAGUGGCGACUUUCAAAAGUCGUUAAAUAACAUUUAGUUGUGGAUUCACAUGUAUCUAGGAUAUAUACACUGACUCUCUCGCUCGCAUCUCUCAUCUCUUGCUCCCCUUUCUUCCUCUCUCACUCCCCUCUCUUCCUAUGUUAGGAAACCUGUAUGGAAUCCUCCGUAGGGAGUUGGGGAGCAUUACGUACAAUUUCACAUUUUUUAGAGUGAACUUUAGGCAUUUAGAGACCAAUUUACAGGAAUUAUGUGAUUUUCUUAAUUUUUUGUGUGUGUUAUUCCAUGAAUAAUUUGGUGAUAUGACUUCCGAACGAUUUUUUUUGCGAACCUUUAUGGUACCCUCCUUAGGGAGUUGGUGGAACAGUACGUACAGUCUCACCAUUUUUAGAGUGAUAUGACGGAGAUAUAACUCCUAAUAGCCCAAAAUAUGUCUAAAAAAUGACAAGGCUUCACAUAUUUCUCUCACAACUCUCUACAGAGGGUUACGCAAUAGCUUUGCACAAAAAUCCACCGUCAAUCACAUCACUAAAAUAAUCAUGGGCUAACUGUGCCCACACAAACCCAAUAGCAUAGAUGGAAUUUGGAAAGAUAAUUAUGUUGGGAUAUUUUCUUCCUGUGGUGCUCGCUGCAGCGUAUAAUGAUGAGCUGUAUGUGUCUCCAUCCUUUUUUAUUCAUUUUUUUAUUUAUUUAAAAUGAUCAUUUGAUUGGUGUGAUAAGAUAUGAUAUAUUUUAAUUACACUUAAAGAUUAUGUCAUAAAUUGAGAUAUUUUAUGAGAUAAUUAAUUAUGUUAGUGAAAAACUUACAAGAUAACAAAAAAUACAAGAUUACAAUUGAAACUAAAAAUGAAGAAAUAAAUCUCUUCAGGAUGAGGCACGGAUAUCUCGCUCUCUUUAAGGAGAUUCAAGCCCACUGCAACAAAUGUUCUUGACUGAUCCAGCAGUAGUCCUCUUGACUAGCAAAGGUUUGAGUUUCAACACAUCUUUACCCUUUAGCUGGUCGAUUUGCUGAAGAUGAAUCGUCAAUUCUUUGUCUCGAUCAAGGUGUAACUUAUAUAAAAGCAACGGUCAAUUGUAAGCUUGAUGAUUUUCUUCAACAAGCAAACAAAGACGUUGAUCUAGCAUUGCCAUUUUGGCCUCAAGGAAUUAUGGAUGUGGACGAGACGAAUUUAUUCGUCAUGCCACUUCUGGUUGUGCAAGUCACAACAUUUGAAUGUUAAAGUGUUAAAGUGUGCCUUUAGUGUAUUUGUUUAUUUAGUUAUGCAUUAUUGUAAAUUAAUAAUUAUAUUAAAAAAUUAUAAACUAAUGACAUUCUGUUUUGCUAGAAACAGCAAGUACUAUCAUGUUAAUAAAACAAUGUAAUUAAUUGAAUAUAGUAUUUCGUGGGCAGGUGAUAAGUUAAAUGUAGAAAAGUUUGGUCACUUUAACAUUUUACUAUUUAUUUUAGACUGCUUUAAUAUAAUAUAUUAGGCUCUAUUAUACAUUAGAUGAGUAACAAUAAUAAUUAAAUUUCAUCUCAAUUAAGAAUGUGGUUCCACAUCUUUUUGAGAUACUUAAGAAACUCAAGGAUGCGGUUACGCACCUUGGCCAAAUUAUUUCAAUAAUUAAUUUUGUUAAUUCAAACCAAGAGAUGUAAUUUGAGAUUAUUAGAUGUGAUGAACUCGAGAGGGGAAGACGAUUAUGUCUCCAAAUGUCAAGAUCGAGAAUGCAGUUAUGCAUCCGGUUUAAGACUAAUAAAAAUUCAACAAUUAAAAAAUAAGCAAACCAUGACAUAUAUACACAAAUUAUCCAAAAACAUAUCAAGAUAAGUAUAAGUCAAUAAAAGAGACAGUGCUAGAACCACGAGAGUACUCGAGGGAUGCCUAAUACCUUCCCCUUGAUCAACAGAAUUCCUUACCUGAAUUUUUGGUUAGCAAACCAAACAAAGAGUCAUUUCCUUUUGAUUAGGGAUUAAAUAAAAGGUGACUUGGAACAUCAUAACUCAAUUCCAAGUGGCGACUCUGGAAAAAAUAAAAAAAAUAAAAAAUAAUAAUCUCUUAAUCAAUACGAACACUUAGAUUGAAAAAACCCUUUCCGCCGUGCGAAAAAAAGGGUGUGACAUCUCUAGCGACUCCGCUGGGGAUACUAACCAGAAUUCGAGCUUUGUUUUGUUGACUUUUAUUUUAUCUUAUUAUUUAUUUUUUUGGAUAAAUUGUGUGUGAUUGCCUAAUAUGAUACUUGUUGCUCUUUUAUCACUUUUUAUAUUGUUGAACUAUAAAUUGUCUUUCUUAGCGCAACCAUCUGAAUUGGCAUGAUUUAAUGGCACGUAUUGAAGACGUAAUUUUUUCAUUUUCGUUACUCAAGUAUGACAAAAUUCAUAAAAGUAGCACAAGUGAAGAUGAAACUGGAUCACCAUUAGGAAAUACAGCUACCAAGUAUGUUAUAAUUGAAGAAAUGGAAGAUCAAGACCAUGGUUCUUGAGGUUUUACAUAUGACAUUCUAACAAUGUUGCGCUCUGAUGGCGUUUUGUAUUUGCAACGGAAGGAAGGGGACGAAAAAAUGCGUAGAUUUUCUAGCAAAUGAAAGGUCAAGUUGUAUACAUGAAGAAGAUUUGUUAAUCAAGGAAGAUGAGGAAGUUGAGUUUUUUUCACCUAGUAAACUUUAAGACAUGUUGCUUAUAGAAGGGAAAUUUAUUACUCCCUAUGUGCUAAAAAAGUAAUGAUAUACAUUUUUAUACUUAGUAAAAAUUUAACUUUUAAACUUCUCGUUUUACCCCUAAAGUUAGUGGUGAAAGUUUGGUAUUCAGUUCGAGAUUUCCAAAUUUCGAGUUCAAUAGUUAAAAAUAAAUUCAAUUCAAUAUGGUAUUCAGUAAUACCGUAUUAAAGUUGUAGGAUUUGGAAAAGAAUGAUCACAAAUCUUUCUACUUUUUGUUUGUUAAAAUCAUGUCAUUUUUUCUGACUAAGUUAAAGAAAAAGAGAAAUUGGUUUCUUCUUUUGUUUAGAUGAUAAUGUUAGUGGACCUAGCUUGAAAUGUGAGACAAAAUUAUAUGAAUUGAAGUUUGAUUUCGAUAUGUAAUUCGACUGAUUUGAUGUUAUUUUUAUUCUUUAUUUGAUUUCAAGUAUGCAUAAAAAACAAAUGUAACGUAUAUUUACAUCCACACAAAUAUCUACACAUAUUUUUAGUUUAAGAUUACAAAAUUUUAAAAGUCGUCUAUACUUUCAUAAAUUAAUAUCCCAUGAAACUAAGAUACACAAACUAAAACUAGCGGAGUAACUUAGUACUAAUUCGAUUUGCUUCAUACAUUGUUUUAGUACUAGACAUAUAAGCUCGUGCUAACACAGACUCAAUAACAUACAUAGAAUUUGGAAAGACAAAUAAUUAUUAACAUGAUUAUUAUUAAUUUACGAGACUUUUACGAUAAUUUUUUUCUAUUCUAAUUUAUGUGAUACAAAUUAAUUUUCGUGUGUAUUAUUGCAUGGAUUUGGCGCCUCGGAGCACCCAAAAACAUAUUCUGAAAAAUCUUUAUAAGGACCUCUGUAAUGAGUUGGGAACCAUCACUUAUACUCACACUAUUUCUUAACGCUUAUUUAUGCAUUUACUGACCCUUUUUUAGGAAUUACGUAAAAAAAA